GUCUGACUUCUCUCUGUCCGCAAGUGGGAGGGACGGUGUGGCUUCUCUGGUUCGGCGGUGGCUUGCUGUUUCUGGUCAAGGAAGCCAUUGGGUUCGAGAGGAUGCUCUAGGUUCUCGAUGGUUCGUCGAGUCUGGGUCCUUUUCCUUUCGCCGGGGUGUGUGCUGGUGGGUCCUAUUACCAUGGCGGCGGGUUGUGGGGUUGAGCACGCAGGCGGGUUGGUGCUCGAGCUCAGUGGCCGGCUCGCGUAGGUCUUGCUUGCGGUUUAAAGGGCGGUCGUCUAUGCUGCUUCAGUGGCCGUGAGCUUCGAAUCCUCACCUUCGGACCUCCUGUUCGUGGUCCCUAAUUGUCUCUCUCCAAUGUCGCCGGCUUUAGAUUGUUGUGGAAGUCGGGGACUGUUGGGUUGGUUUGAGCCCUGGUUCUAUUUCCAUCUUUGCGGUCGCAAUUGAUGGUUCUAACAGCGCCAAUUUCGGUUCGUUGGUUCUCGACGGCUACGGGCGUGUGGUGGUUCUCGUGUCUUUGAUCGCCGCAUCGAAUGCUCGGUCUUCGCUCACAUCCCAGCACUUCAUAGGUUUGCUUGAGCCUCUUGUGGUGGUGUGCGGGGCAGUUGUGUGCAGGUUUGGGCUCUGAUUAGGGAUAGCGGAGGUGGCGGCCCACUUUGCUCGGUUCGGCGUAGUGUACAGGCCGUUUCCGGGUCUAAUAAUUGCUCGAUUUGGAUGUUGUGGGUGAGUUGCACUGCUGCUGUUGUUCGUAUGGGCAUUUCUUUGAGGCGCUCGGCGAGCUGUUUUCGGGUGGGUCAUUAUCUUUAAGAGCGGAUCACCGGGGAGGCCAAAAUUACUGGGUUCCGACUCUCGGUUGAACUUGGCUCAUCCUUUUGUGGCAAGCUGUUGGUGCGGACUAAGCUGUGUCUUGGGACUGUGGUUGUGGUGGUCGUGUUUGCUUAUCUAUCGCUACUCGAUCGAGUGUGUGUUUAGGAUUUUAUUUUUCUUAUUCUGCUUCUUGUUAUCUAUGUAUUUCUGUCACAAAUUAAAAACUUGGUAAUAAUAUCUUAACAUUUUUACCAAAAAAAAAAAAAAACAGUUAAUGUGUUGGCAGAUUAUAUUUCCACCUCACGUAGCUGAACAAAAGUGCCAUUAUUAUAUAUACUAGAAAUUUUACCGCGCUACGCGCAGUUUAUUUAUUUGUAAUAUAUAUAUAUAUAUAUGUAUAUUUUAAAUGUUAAAUAUAAUUUAGAACACAAUUUUAUCAAUAAAUUAUUUUUAUUUUUGUGUUAUAUAAUUAAUUUGUUUCUGAAAUAACUUUUUUUUUGAAAUAACAUUAAUUUAUAUUUAUAUAUAUAUAUAUAUAUAUAUUUAGAUGCAAACAUAAUUAAAGUUUCUAUUAAUCUGUUAGUAAUCAUGUCUAACUAUUUUGUAAAAUUUCAAAUAUUAUAUAUUUAAUAUUUUCUAAUUUUCUAUUAUUUAUGUAUCAUAUAUUUUUUUAUACAUCGUCUGCGUUAAUAUCAAACUAUUAUUUGAAGAAUAGGUAAAUAACCUUAUUAUAUAUAUAUAUAGAUAUAUAUAUUAAAUGUGUAUUUAAUUUGAAUAUUUAAAUAUUUAAAUUUUGGUGACCGAUAAGAAUGAUUCGAUAAAUUAUUGGAGCUGUAAUACCGAGAAGAAAAUUACUAAUUUUCUAAAGUUUGUAAAAACAUUUCUAAUUCGACUUUAUAAUAGAAUAGAAAAUGAGUUUACUCUAUAUAUAUAUAAAGUUUUUUUUGUUUAUUGUUCUAUUGUUUAUUCUAAGUUAGAAUAUCAUUGGAGUAUAACCAUAUUAUAUUAUAAGAUAUUUUAUUUUGGAAAAAAUAGAAUAAAUUAUGGAAAUACUAUAAAGCUCACUCAAAUAGAUUGGUGAUGUGCUAACCUAAAUUGAUCUUUACACAAACUUAUUUGAUAUAACAUUAUAAAAAAAGAUGGGAAAAUCUUUGGUAUAUAUGAUAUACUGGAGGUAACAAUUUGUUUUUUUAACCAAGUCGCCUGGGUGUUUCCGCCAGGGGUUCGAAUAGCAUUGGUCCACCCAUAGACGCUUUAAGUUGCAAGAAAACCGAGAUUUCUAUGGGUCUUGCGGGAUUAAUUUUUGGGUCUAGAAAACUUUUGGGAUCUCCACGGUUAUCAAAAAAAAAAUGUAACCAUGAAGAUAUCUUAACUGCUUUUUAGUUUAAUCGCAUUGUAUAUGAUUAUUUGUUUCAGUGGUACAAACCACAAGCCACAAAGUUCCAUUAACUAUUUAGGUUCAAAUUUGAUAACAUCACAUAGUGAACUAAGGUUAGGUCAAAAUCAUGAUUCUAGUUUAGUAGUAUAGAUUGUACGUAUAUGGUUUACUAACGUAAAAUAUUUAUAUAAAUUUUACCAAUCAUCUCAUUAUAUCUGGAGAUAAUGCUUAUGAUAUCUGCAGUCUUGCAAAUAAUAAUUUUUAUAGACUUAUAAGCAACUAUAACAUUUUUCAUAUACUCAAGAACACAGUAAAUAAAUAGUUUACUAUACCAUUGAUGGCACCCUUAAAAUCAGGAAAACUAUAAUUAUUUGGUCAGAAAUUAGGAUUAACUCCUCACUGAUCAUAUUGUUAUUUUUUUUUGUUUGCUCUGCGUUGAACAUUUUAUAUGGUUUUAAAUGUUUAGAGAUUAGUACUCCUGACUACCAUAUUCUUUUUGGGAAAAAUUCAAAAUAUUCGUUUUAAAAUUGGUAAAAUACAUAUACGCAAUAUAUGCAAUGAGUAAUAAAUUUUAAAGUUUGCCUUGUAGUUUUUCGUUUUCGUUCUCACAACAUUUCUCUUUAGUGAGAUAUUUGGUAGUGUAGGUUGCACAAUUGAUAGGAAGCUAAUGAUUUUGAGAUAGUGUGAACCAGCAAGAAGAACAUGUCUUAGUAAGAAACUCCCGUUUGUUUGAUAUGAGCAGAUUCUAAACUUCAAGAAUAAUAUACCUGAUGGUCAUGUCUUUUUUCAUUCAGUCCUUUACAACUAAAGAAAAAACACAAUUAGAGUAAUUUAAAAAGCGGUAAAUCAUAGCAAACAUAAAAGUCUUCCAUAUAUCAAAACUUAUACAGCACGAAAAACCCAACACAUAUUCUCGUAAAGGAAUACCUCAACUUCACAAGUCAUUAUUCAUUACACCAAGAAAAUGCAAAAACAGAAAGCUCCAAAAAUAGUUUAGAUUCUCUCGUGUCCUUGCUGCUGCAGUUAAUGAUUUCUGCUCCAGUUCCACUUCAAGGUAGCUAGGCAACGCACACUGCCUGCGAGGCUUCUCAAACCGUUUGUUCCUUGAUGAACUUGUGUUAGAGGCAGAGAUGAGCGCUUUCUUUGUUCCUUGCACCAAUCAUCUCAAGAACUUACAUUCCAUAGCUAUAAACAUCUGUCCUGUGAGUCAAACAUAUGAUACAUCACUGUCCUACCCUCUUCUCCUCGAGACUCAAAUGUCCUCUCUCUCUCUCUCUCUCUCUGCGCACCCACAAUACUCCAAGUAUACACUAAUCUCCGGCUUGUACGCGUUCACUCCACUCCAGUGCAUGGCUACAGAGAACUUUUGGAAUCAAAGAACGGGACCCUUCUCACCAGCUGACUCAGCUCAAUAGUGUUGAAGUCAUAACCCACAGCUUCAAAGCUAGCGUAGCUAAACCCAUCUUCAAUGGUCAAAGAUGAAGAAAAAUUGGAAUCUCGAGCUUGGCAAGAUUUUUCUCGGGACAAAGACCGCUUCCUAAAUGAAAAUGAAGGAAUGUGCCUGGUAAAGGUCUGUAUCCCUGUAGAAUGAACUUGUCAUGUUCAGUUACUCUUUUGCAACACCAACUUCAAAUUACAAAGACAGUUAGAUUGUUGAAUGCGUCACAAAUCUAUUAUAUCUACAUACCUCCCAUCUUGAAGGUUCAUAUUUAUUUGGAUUCAUGCCAAUCUCAAGAUCCAGGUGAACUUACAUGAACCAAGUCAUCACCUUCCAGCCUUUUGGUAUGAUGUAUGCCUAAUUACAGAAACAUAGAAAUGAAUAUACAAAAAGGGUUUAAAGAUUGUUUGUUGUGUUCCAUGUAGGCGAUGAGCAUAGACUGACCGUUCAUUUGGCCAUCCCUCUUUGCUUCCCGGAAGGCCUUAGAUAGAAUGUACCCAAAGUGUCUCAUCAGAACCUUCAUAAAAAGCCUCAUUUUGUAUUCAGUGAGAGAAUAUGUAACGAAUCAUACCUUUUUAAAAACACCAUAAACUUGUUUUGCAAUGAGGCACCUGUGAUUGUUAGUCCAUUUUACAUGUCUCUUUUAAGAGUCAAAUCCUGGUCCGGUGCUCAAUUUUCAACAAUAGCAUCUUGUUCUCCCUGUGUAGAAUGAAAUCACUAUUAAAGCUUGUAAAGUGAAAUGGAAAAGGAUUAUAAAAACAUAUAUUCUCAUGUUACCUCUAACUUCUGGAGAAUCUUAGGGUGUUCCUGCAGAGAAAUGGAAGCCCAAAUAAUGGUGAGUCCAGAGGAUUCAUGGCCUGUACUAAUAAUAUAUAUCAAAAAAGCAUCGAUAAUUUUCUGUUUCUCUAGAGUUCUUCCAUUCUCUUCUUUAUUAUCAUUAGAUUAUCCAGCAUGUCUUAUUCAUUGGAGUUCAGAGUAGCCAGCAUAGAUCUAAGACUUUAGGAGCAUUUUACGAAUCUGCUGAGAAAGUUAUAUAUUUGGAGAUUCAAAAAGGAUCUUCAUUGUUUUUUUUUUUUGAAUAUAAAUUCCUGCCUGAAAAAUUCAAAAAGCUUAUUUAAAAAGAUUGGAAAUUUAAUGGGAAAGUGAAAGUAUAACAUACAAAUGAAAACUACGGCCAAAGAAAACAGAAUUAUGAUUCUAAGCUCAAUUAAUCUCACAAAAUUACUAUUCUUCACAAGUCCAACAGGAGAAGAACAGAUAUGCAACAAAAUAGGAGCCUUACCACCACAUCAUUAAACCAAAUCGAGCAAAGACUUGCGUUACCUAAACCGAAACCAGGAAGCUAGGCUGUAAGAAAAGUGUUCCCAAAAUAAAUCCCUUACACAUCUCCUGGUGUGAAAAAAAGAAGAAGAGAAAACUAAAUCAGCAUUGAUAAAGAAUAAAUCAGUGGGAGCAUCGCAAGAGCAAUGGCAAACAACGGCUGCUAAGAUCAACAGGGCAGUUUAAUUGAAACUGACACUAUUUUGGUUAAUUGAAUAAGGAAUUACCAAACAAAGGCAAGAUAGUGGGUCAUGCCUUUAGUAUUUGCUAAAGAACAAAUAGCUUCAUCCAUGAAGACAAAAGUACCAGCAAGUGAACUUGCCUUUUGGUUUCAUCGCUAUAGUGUCAACUUCUUGAAAUGAGGUUUUCGGGAUUGAAUGGAAGCAAUUUAAGACAAAGUGGUUUAUAAAGAAAGAGAAAGAGAAGAAGGUGAAACGAACUCAUUAAGAAGUAUUGAAGAACACCAUUGAUUGAUAGCAGAUGAGACUCAGCUCAGUAACGGAGAUUUGAUGAAGAGGAAAGUAGAAGACGAAGUCGAAGGAUGAUCUUGGGCCUUUAACAUGUAUAAUGAACCCAGCAAAGAGAGUAAUUUUUAUUUUCUACAGAAAUCAAUAUGACAUGGCAGUUUGGACGAUUUUUAGUGGAUGAAUUUUAAAUCUGACGUGGACAGACUCUCCUUUCAGCAUAUCUCCCUUUUAGUAUUGUUAGAUUAGAUAUAUAUAUAUAUAUAUAUAUAUAUAUAUAUAUAUAUAUAUAUAUAUAUAUAUAUAUAUAUAUAUUUUAUAAAAAUGUGCCAUUCCUCAUCUAUAAUCUUAUUUAUUUAUUUAGAAAUCUUAUAAAUAUCUAAAUUAUUUCAACUAAAUUUUCCAUGUGUGUUCGGUAGUCGUCUAUUUUUUUUUCUCUCUCUCUCUUGUAACCUUAAGUGGCUGUGGUUGGGUUUUUUUGUACAGGAUAAACUAUUUUAUAAUAUUAUUUUUUAAGUAUUUUUUGUGGGAGUUAAAUAUAUAUCUUCAAUGCUUUACAAACUUGUUUGGACCUUUUUCUGUCUUUUCUAAGAAAAGUCCAACUGAGAGAAAAUUCAUUCAAAAGAUUACCCUACAUGUCUACUGACCGAGUAUAUUUGGUCCAACCAGCGUAUGAUCGUACUCCACAAAAAAAGUCGAAAACGAUUUUUUUUUAAAUUAAUAUAGAGGUAUCUAUACUAUUAAAGCAGUAGGGUUCUGCCCUUAGAUUAACAAUUUAUUUUUAUUUUUCUUUUAACAUUUAUUAACAAUUUAUUUAUAACGGCAUGCUAUUAUCAUUUUUUUUUGACAACACGGCAUGUCAUUAUCAUUUAAUUUUAAUUUCAAUAAAUGUAUUUAAGAAGGGGUUUUCAUUAAAGUGUAUUUUUUCUUUAUUUAUGUGACAUUAGUAUAUAUAAUCAUCAAAACAAAAUUUAUAAUACAUCAAUUGUAUAACAAUGAAGAUCAAAUAUCUCUCUUCCAUGUUUAUGUUUUGAAAAUCAAACCAAAAUUUUAACGUUGAAGACCAAGCUCCAAGCAAAAUUCAAACCAAUUUAGUAUUAAUUCAGAUAUUUCAUAUAUGUCUAUCAAUAUUUUUAUUAUUGACACUGAUAAUUUUGAAUUCUAUCAAAUUUAAGAAUAUAUUUAUUAAUUAUUUAAAAUUUAUCUAAACAAAAUGUUAUGAUACAUCAAGUGUAUAACAAUGAAGAUUAAAUAUCUCUCUUCCAUGUUUAUAACUUUCUUUUAUAAUUACAAUAUUAAUGUUAUGCAACUAGAGUUUUCUUGAAUAUAAUAAAUAAAUAAAAAUGGGAAUACAAAUGGGAAGUUUAAUCCGAGAUACACAUUGUUGCUGUAUCCGAUUUCUUAAGAAUCUUAAGAUGAUAUAUGUACAUUAACUAAUUAAAUCUUUUUAUUAAUCUACCAAAUAUUCUUCGCAUUAUUAUUCUAACCAAGCAAAAAAAAAGAAUUAGGAGUAGGCGUUCGGGUACCCAUUCGGGUUUGAUCCUAUGUCUAUUUGGGUUUUGGGUUUUCAUGAUUAAAGAUUUCAGUUAAUUUAUAAAUUUCAGAUUAGAUUCGGUUUAGAUCUUUUGGUAGUUGGUUUGGGUUUAGAUAAACCAUUUAAAUUAUUUUUAAAAAUUAAAAGUUCAUAUAUACUGUAAAUUUCUCAAAAUUUAAAAAUAAAAAUAAUAUAUUAUAUGACUUUGAAUAAUGUAUGCCAAAAUACCUAAACUUAACAUAUAAAUUGGUUUGGUAUGAAUAUUUUGAUAGAUAAUCGAUAGAUAUUUCAAGUAUUUUUGGUAUUUUGAGUAUUGUUUACCUAUUUUAGACAUUUACUUUUGAAAAUUUUCAAAUAUCAUGUAUAUUUGGGAUACUUUUUAUAUAUUAAAUCUAAAAUUAAUCAAUAUAUUGAAGUAUAUAAAUUUAUUUUGGAUAUUUUUAAGUAGUUAAAACACUUUGGUGUAGAUCGGGUUUGGUUAUAUAAAUACAAAAUUUUUGAAUCUAUUCGGAUAUAUAACCAAUUUUGGUUUGAUACUAUUUUUCGGAUUGGUUUCGGUUUGGUUCUUCAGAUUCGAGUUUUUUUGUCCAACCCUAACCAAAAUAGUCAAACUGAAACCAAAUUUAAAUACAUAAAUAAUUGAACGGUUCUUAUAUCUUGUAUUGAAAAAAUCAAAACCAAAAAUUAAACUAAAACCAAAAAAAAAACAAAAUAGAAUUGAAACGAGAAUAAUCUCUCGUUUUUAAAGCACAGAUCAAAAUCUAGUACUAGAUUUAUAGAAGAACCAACACUAAUAUUCAAAUAGAUUCUAAAUAAUAGACUCAUAUCCACUUGAACAUAUGAUGGAAUGCAUCGGAAUAUUUUCGAAUCUGAGUUAUUUAUCAACUAAAAAAGGCCAUCUAUCACAUGGUUCAUGAAAACGAUUUUUCAUAUGGACUUUUGUACAUUUCUGUAAUUAGUCUGGCUGUUAAAAUGUUUAUAUAACUUAGUUUUGUUAAGUUUAAAUUCCUCAGUUAUAAACAAUUAAAAUAUUUAGAAAUCAAGUAUAUAUUUUGUUGUUAAAAAUGUUGGAAUGGUGUUACCCAAAAAUUACAUUAUAUCAAAGUUGGUCGAAGGAAAAAAAAAGGUUGGUCGAAUGAAAUUUUCUAAUAAUUUUAGAGGGUACAUCAAAUUCAGCGACUCCCAUGGUAUUAAAAUAUUCUUAAAAUCGCGUCACUGAAUAUUAGAUACAAGGGAACUGCAAAAAGAAAAAGAGAAAAUUGUUUUUUAGAGCAAAAAAUGAUAAUUAUGUCUGUUUAGACUAAUAUAUAUUUUGUGUCAUUUUUCUCUAUAAUACCCUUUUAUAGUUGAAAAUAAAUUUAGUAAAGAGUUUUACAAAUAAAAAAAUUAGAAAAAUAGUAACUAUUGAUAAAAUACAUAUAUGAACUUAGUGGUGUUUCUUUCAGUUCUAAAAAUGUUUAAAUCAUAAUUUUCAUAUUCUGUUCUAAAUAAAGUAGAAAUGACAUUCUACGAAUUAGCAAAACGAAAUCCACUUUUUUAUUGAAUCUGCAAUGUUUAGAAUAUGUCAUCUACGUAAUAAGAGUAUUCUAAAAAUAUUUAGAAUACACAUUCCGCGCUUAACUUACCGAUCUAAAAUCUUUAGAAAUCAAAAUCUACACAUUAAUAUAAAUCUAAAACACGUAUAAACCGACUUCUACAGAUUUCUUGUAAAGCUAAAACAUGUAGAAAUCAAAAUCUACACAUUACUAUAAUUCUAAAAACCUGUAGAAACCGAUUUCUACAGAUUAGAUGUAUUCUACGGAUAAGAAAUCAGUUCCUAAAAAUAUGGAAACAAAAUAUUUGGGAAUAUUCACUUUCAUAUUUUGAAAAUCGAUUUAAAAAAAAAACUUAAAAAAACUUAAAAAAAACGUGGUAACCUUCUUCUCACGCCGUCUUCUAUAUUCCAUUGAUUGUUCACAAAAUUUUCACAAAAAGUUCACAUUAUUUCAACCAAAUCAGUGUGAAAAUUGAGUGAGUUAAGAGUUUAUGAACUUGAGACUUUGAUUUUCUCCCCCUUUGUUCGUGAAGGAGAUGAGAAAUUUAUGAGUUUCAUCCCAAAUAAAUCGAGUUUAAAGAGUUGAAAGCGUGUUUGGUCGGUUCAAAUCAAGUGGGAAUCAAACCGGAUAUAACCGAAGAAAACCAAGAAAUCGAUUUGGAAUACUUACCUAGGCACAGGAUCGAUCGGUCUAUAAUUCGAGAUCAGUCUAUCUGUAUGAAAUCGACCUUUGUCGAUCGAGUGAAAUAGACCAUAUCGAUCAGUAUAUGCUCCGUGUUUUUUUGUUCCGCAUAAUGAUCAGGAUCGAUCGAUCCGUUCGACCUUGUAAUUUCAGAUCGAUCGAUCCCGCUUGAUCGAACCCAUUAUUUAAAAUUACAAUUUUAAGGGCAUUAUUGUCAUUUUGAAAAUAAUUAACUUAAUGAGAUAUAAAGUAUAUGAGAUUAGUCUAAAGUGAUAUAGUUAUCAUUUUUUUGUUUUAUAAAAAAACAAUUUUCCCAAAAAAGGGAAAUGAAGUGAAUAUGCAUGGGUUCUUUUUAAAAAAUGUUUGGGUUCAUGGACGGAUGUAUAGUUAAUUCAUUAAAACCAUAAACUUGGGGCCGGAAAGAUAGGCCCAAGGGAAGUCCAUUACACAGAUAAACAUACGAACAUAAAAUACACAAAAGAAAAGACUAUCCACACAAACCAAACGUGUAGAGCUACUAAAGCUAUAUACACAACAACAACAACAACGAAGAGAAGGUUAAAAAGAAACCUGGUAACUGUGUAUAAAAAACCAAUAAAAUACUAAACGAAAACCAACGAAAAAGCAGAAAAAAAAGACUAAACCGCAUGAUCGGUUAUUUCUUUGUACUGUCUCAGUGACUCCAUCCUCUGCAACUUCAUAUCCUCAUUAAACUUUUUAAUAAAUGCCUCAACUCGCCGAUUCAACUCGUCCUGACUCAGUGACGGCUCCUUCCUCACCUGAGACUGGUAAUGGUUAGUCAUGUCCCUAAACGUCUCCGAUUUCCUGUAAACCGGAUUCGCCUCGCCGGAAUUUCCACGGCUAAACGUGUCCGAUCUCCGGUAUAGCUGUCUGGGCAACGUCGUUGACUUACCUUCCGUUAUCAUCUUCCAAGUAUUCUCCAGUGUAUCGUUAUGCACUCUCAACACCCCUCUUCUUCCACCUUGAAAAAACACAAUGUAUUUUGUAUCUUAUAUAUCUUAUAUAUUAAGAGAGAAGUCACAACUUUAAUUCAUGUGUGAUUUUUUUUUUAAAAUAGACCUAAUGGACCUAUUACUAGAAAAUCAUGUUACAUUUAUCAUAUUAAUUGUUUUGUCAUUUAUUUUCAAAUUAAUAUCACCUAAAAUCUCACAUUACCAACUCAUCUUUUAUUAAUCGUGAUGAUUUCUCUUUACUAUAUAAAAAAUCAAUGACAUGCGUCUCAUAGACCAGAUUUAUUAUAAAAGACCAUACAUUUUCUGUUACUAAGGGUAUAUAUUAGUUCAUAAAUUUAUGAUAGUCUUACUUCAUGUGUCUCUGUCGUUUUCAUUAAAUACUUAAUCGUGUACUAUAUUUAACCAUAUACAUAUAAACGUAUCUCAUGGCCAUAACUUCUAUGACAAUGCUUGACCAAACUAACUUUGUUACUAACAGCGUUUUAUUUUUAGUAAACAUUCUUCAGUGAUAUUUGAGUUACGAUGCUCUUUGAAUUUAUUGUUGCACUUGUGUUAGCCUUAUUUGAGUUAUUGUUCUCUUUGUAUUAUAUGAUCUUUAAUUUUUAUAUACUGAAACACAUACAUCAUUUGGAGAAGAUGAAGUUAGUUGUAUUCAAAAUAAUAAAACUUCAAAUACGGGUAUAUUCAUUUAACAACAACAUUAUUUGUUGUUUGUUACAAAAAUCAUAUAUAAAUGGUAUAAUCCUAUAAUUCUAUUACUGUAACAUUAUUGGAAAACUACCAGCAUAAUAUCAAGGAAAAAUAUAUUCCAAUAUUAAAUAAUAUAAUUCAAAAAGUUACUAAAUUCAAAUUACGGGUAUAUUAUUUGCCCGCAGCUAUAUUGGUCGUAGAUUUAAAAAUUUCACUAAACUUAAAUUGAUGGAGUCCACUGGUAGUUACUAGAAAAUAGUUUCAUCUCACCAUGAAUUUCUACGUAUAUUAUAUCAUGAAUUUUGUUUUUAAUUUAACAUAUUAAAAACAGAUAUCAGUGUUUUUCGUUUAAUGUUCAAUAGUAAUAAUAUUCAAAUAUUAGUGUAGAUGAAUAUUUUAAUAUGUUCAUAAAUACAAAUAAAAUUACUAAAUAAUAAAAUAUUUAUUUAUAUUACUUAUAAUUUUAAUUAAAAAAUUAUAGGUAGUAUUCUAUUUCAAUAAAAGAAUAUAAAUACAAAUAAUAUUCAAAUUUGUUGAACUUUGCAUAUAUUAGUGAGAAAAUCUAAUAAGAUAAAUAUAUAAGUCACAAUUACAUGUAAUAGUUCGAAAAAAUUAAUUGAAUAGACAAACAUGCACACUAUAAAAUUAUUGUAUCUAAAAAAGUAUAUAAACUUUAAAUAUAUGAUUAAUUAAUAAAAAAAAUAUACCAAUAAUAAUAUAAAAACAGAUGUAUAUGUUUAUAAGGUGAAAAUAAACACUCGCACGGUUGUGCGGGUCGAAAUAUAGUUUUAUUUAAAAACGAUGUAUAAUUUUCUAUUGGGCCCUCCGAAACUUCCUUUUCAAACCACCGACGCCAAAUUUGAAUUUUCAAAAACAAUUUAAAAUCUACCUAACCGUUUGUUAACAUAACUGUCAUCAUCUUCUUCCUCUGUUUUCUUUUUCUUUUAAUGAACUUGAUAAGUAUCAAAUUCAAAAUUAAAUUUGAAAAGAAUAAGGAUCGUACCUCUUGUACUAGCUUUCACCGACUCCCGGUGGUCAAAUCUUGAAUCCUUGGGAGGGAGAUUUUCCGAUUCAGUCAUCCUUAAUGGCACAUGACUCCGAUUUGAAUUCGCCGACGCCAUCAUGACAUCCUCAUCUCCACCAGAUCCAACCAAAUCGAAAUUUUCCACCAUAAUCAAGUUCUUAAGCUCCGAUUCAUCUUCCACCAUCGCCACUGCAUCUAUUAUCUUCUCUUCCUUGGCGGCUACAAAACUGAAUUGCGCAUCCGGAUCCAAAUCCUUCACCUCCAGCAUCCGCGGAGAAGCUGAUUCAUCGCCUUCCUGUUCAUGGUGGCUAGAGUUCCGGUAAUACUUCGAAGAAGCAACGAUAGUGAUGAUGAUUCCGUUUGUGAGGACGUAGAGAUACGGCGGUUUCAGCCACGAAAGCAAAGAGCUCCACAGGACCGGAGCUUGCGACACGGAGAAGUCAACAGCCAUCAUAUCGGAACAUAGACCUUGAGCAACAGUCCGACGGAAGCGACGCCGCUCGAGAUUAGCACCGCCUUGAGAGUCAUCAGCCACGAAACCAUUUUCUCUUCUCUCUCUCUCUGUCACGAUUGUGGGGAUAUGUGUUACAACUUACAAGCUCAGGAUUAUGUUGUGAUUUAUAUAGGGAGGGAAAUUAUGUGAAGUAGCCUCUGAUUUGAUAUCUGCCGUUAGAUCUACGCUUUGAUUAAAUGGACGGUUAGAAUUAAUGAAAAACGAUUGCAAUUUUGGUGCUGUGGUUAACACAGGAAUUUUAAUUUACAUUAUCAUGAUAGUUAAGGAUGACCAUAAAAUUAAUACUAUCUCUUACAUGUUUAGAUAUGUGUAAUAAAUACUGAUGUAUGAUCGAUCACUCCCGGUUGAAAGUUACUUGUGGAAUUUGUAAAUUUAUUCUAAUGUUAAAAUGUCGGUAUGAUGAUUAUAUAGAUAGAUGACAAUAUGUUACAAGUUACAAAUUUAAUAUAAACUAGGUUAAGAUCCGCGCCUUGCGCGGGAUGAACAAUAUAUAUAUAAAUUAUUUUAUAUAUUAUAUGUUUAAAACAUAUUAUGAAAUAAUAAAUAUAUAUUGAAUAAUUAAAAAGUCAUUAUUUACUACUUAUAUAAUUAAAUUGGUGCGAACAUAUAAAUAAAUUUUAUAAAUCGAAAAAAUAUUUUUUCUACUUGAUAUGAUAUAUAAUUAAAUUUAAAUGAUAGUAACAUAUAUAUAGUGUAUUUUAAUAUUAAUAUUUAUUAGAUGAUGUUUUUUGCUCAUAUUUGUUUUUUUAUCAUUUGUAUAUGUUAUAGCAAAAAGUCUAAAUUAGUGAUAACAAAAUUUUUACUGUGAGAUUAAUGGUUUAAGUAAUUUAUAAUAUUUUAAGAAAUUAAGCAGUCAAUAUUUUUUCAAAAUUUUUAUCAAAAAAAUGUUCAAAGUAAUUUCAAAAUUAAGAUAUUUAUGUAUUUUUAUAUGGCAUAUAAUUUAAUUUAAAAUGAUACAUAUAUUUAUAUAUCUUUUAUUUUUGAUACUUAUUAAAUGAGACUUUCAACUUAUAUUAUUUUUUAAUUAUUUGUAUCAUGCCAUAACAAAAGUUUUAAAUCAUAGAUCACAAAAUUUGAAUGUAAAACUUUUAACAGUUUUAGUAAUUUAUACUUGUUUUUAAAAAUUCAAAAUAUAAUAUAUAAAUAAUUUUUAAAAUUUUUUAUUAUAUGGUUACUAUGAUUGUUUAAUUUAUUUUAAUAGCUUAAAAUUAAACAAAUAUAAUUAUAAUACACACUUAUUUUUAUCAAAUAUUUAUUAUUCAAAAUUAUUAAUUGUCAUAUACAAUUUAGCCACAUUAGUCAAUUCCGUAAUCUUAUUUAAGGAAAUAAUGAAGCACAUUAAUAAUGUAUUUAUUAUGGUUUAAUAAAAAUCUUAUUAUAUAUUUAGAUGGACCAACCUAUUUCUCUAACGAUUCUAAGAUUCAUUCUAGUUAUCACACGUGGCUACAAAAAAUGUUACAAUGCUUCUCAAAUAAUAUAUAGGGGAUAUAUAUCCACUACAAAAGAAGGAUUGUUUAUACAUGAAUGAAAUAGCUGCGAAAUUCAAUCAAGAAUUCUAGAUUAAAGUUUUUUGAUUAAAUAUCUAAAAUAUAUGCAUCACUGACAUUACAAUUAUUGUGUGUACAUUGUUUGUAUAAUAUUUGUAUUUAAAAAAAAAAUAGAAAGAAUUUUCAGUUUUUAUAAUCCACACGCAAUCCGGAAGAUGUCAUUUGAUGAUAAGUGUUUUAAAAAUUGUAUACAAUUAUAAAAUAGUUAUUCGAUCCAUUUAUAUAUAUUUUUCAGUAUUUUUUAAAAAAAUAAGGUACAAAAUUUAUUAUUUCAUUUUAUUUUAGCACAAAAUAUCAGUAUAUACAUCCAAAAACUUGAGAGGAGAUAAAACAUACAUAAUAUUUUAAUCAAUAUAAUACAUAUUAAAUUUUUAUUAUUUUAAUAGGUAUAAAAGUUUCGACAUAGCUUUAAGCACGUUUACAUUUUUAAAAUGAUUGAUUAAUAUACAUGGUAAGACAUAGUAAAUCUAUUAAAUAGAAUUCUAAUCACAAACCAAAUUAAAAAUCAAUACUGAAUUAUGUAAAAUAUCACUUUAUAGAACAUAUCAAAUGGAAAGGAAGCAAGACAAAAACCUCUCUCUUAUCUCUUCAUUAUCUUUUAGAGAAAGGUUUUGGUUUCGUCUGUUGAUCUUCUCCGGCUUCCUUUGGCCAGCGAUGAAGAUCCAGUUCUGGCAUCUGGUGACUCCCUUAGCACAGUUGGCCGGCUUUUGGCUCCGGUUGUUUGCGUCUUACUUAGGCGGAGCAAUCCAGCUUCUGGCUCCGGCGGAGCAUCUUCUUCUCCGAUGACCGCUGGCUUCGAUUCUGACGACCUUCUUCUCCGGUGGAAUCGUUGGCGUACCUCCGGGGUUUUUCCCGAAUUUUGUUCCCGUUUUGCUGGCCUUCGCAGGACGAUCUUCGGUUGGAUUUCUUCGAUCGAGUUUCCUCUGUUGUUUAGAGGUCCGAUGUUAAUGGCUAAGGCGUUUCGGCGACUGCUCUCUCAAUUUCUAUCAUCGUUCCCGUUGAUCUCUUUGAUUGGGUUCUUGUUCUGGUUUGUUUCCGGUGGAACACACGAUUGGAGGUUAUCGGAGAUGUUCUUUUCGGUGAAGUCGUCUGAUGGUGGUGUGGUUCUUAAUUGACUAAAGUCGUCCGACGGUCUCUUCUUCUGCGGCGUCCUGUUUCCGGUGUGUUCUGGUGGCCGUCUGUAAAGAUGGUGGCUGCUUUGUGUGACAUGUGUGUUUUCUUUGUUCUACGUGUUGAUCCACUUUCGUUUAUCAGUUUCGCGUGAUGGUACGUGGAAAGGCGUCUUCUUUUAGUUUUUUGAUUGGGCCGUAUUUGGUCUUUUUGUUGUUGUUGUCCAUCGGUUGGACUUUUACUGUAAUGUUUCUUACCUUUUUUAUGGACUUUUGUUUUGCUGUUUAAUAUUACUAGAUUUUUUAACCGCGCUACGCGCGGAUAAGAUAUUAUAUGUAUUUCACAAUUCUAAAAAAUAAUGUAUAAUAUUGUAUUAUAUUAUUUAAAGAAUAAAAAAUAAGACUACAUAACAUAAAUAUAUUUUUUAUUUUUUCUUUGUGAAAAUCAUUAUGUUGUUUGAUUGUUGUACUUAAUUCACAUAUUUGCAUAGAUAUUUGUGAUAGAUGAAUAACUAUAUUUUUAUUAUCAGUAAAUAAUAUAUAUUUAUCAUAUAAUAUAAGAAAAAUGAAAUUAUUUACUUUUUAACAAACUUGUCUCAUGUUGGGGACUCGGUUAUAGACAUAUCAUAUUCGAAUGAAACAUUUUUACACUUAUCAAUCUUCUUAACAAUUAAGAAACAAAUCUGAAUAUCAAAACAAUAUCUCAUACGAUCUCUUUGUGGAAUAACUGCUCUGAAGAAAUUGAAUUUAUGCAUCAAAAAAGACUGGAAAUGGAUGUGCAUAUGUGUUAUCUAAGUCAGCUUUAAAAAAAACUAUUUAUAGUUCAUAUAUCAUUUAUGUCCAUCCUAUUUUUUUGUCCAUCAUUUCUUAAACAUCUUGAAAUAAGUAAUGCUAAUUAAUAAUAAACUUUUUGCUCACAAAAUAAAAAUCAAAUUUGUUUAAUUAUCGCUUAAUUUGUCUAACUGAUAUAUGUAUUUCUCAAUUCUAAAAAAAUAAUGUAUAAUAUUGUAUUACAUUAUUUAAAGAAUAUAAAAUAUGACUACAUAACAUAAAUAUACUUUUUAAAUUUUCUUUAUGAAAAUCAUUAUGUUGUUUGAUUGUUGUACUUGAUUCACAUAUUUGCAUAGAUAUUUGUGAUAGAAGAAUAACUAUAUUUUUAUUAUCAGUAAAUAAUAUAUAUUGAUUAUAUAAUAUAAGAAAAAUAAAAUUAUUUACUUUUUAAACAAACUUGUUUCAUGUUGGGGACUCGGUUAUAGACAUAUCAUAUUCGAAGGAGACAUUUUUACAGUUAUCAAUCUUCUUAACAUUGAAAAAACAAAUCUACAUAUCAAAACAAUAUCUCAUAUGAUCUACUUGUGGAAUAACUACUCUGAAGAAAUUGAAUUUAGGCAUCAAAAAGGACUGGAAAUGGAUAUGCAUAUAUGUUAUCUAAGUCUGCUUCACAAAGUACUAUUCAUAGUUCAUAUAUCAUUAAUGUCCAUCCUAUUUUUUUGUCCACCAUUUCUUAAACAUCUUGAAAUAACUGAUGCUAAUUAAUAAUAAACUUUUGCUGGAAAAAAAAUCAAAUUUGUCUUAUUAUCACUUAAAUAUUUUAUUAAUAUGGUCUAAGAAGUUUUUAAGUGAUAUCAUAGUUUAAUUUAUUAGUUUUUUUGUUACUUUUUAGAGGUUUUUGUAUUUAAGAUUUUUUUUCAUAUUAAACUUCUAUUUCUUUCACAUAAUUGAUAUAUAUAUAUCAUAAAAAUUACCAUCAAAUCAGUUUUACUUAUUUAUUAUUUUGUUUGAACGAAAAUACACUUUUUAAAUAAUUUAAUUUAAAAUAAAAUUAUAUAUUAAUUUGCUGUAUUUUAACAAUUUCAUUGAUUUAAUUAAUUUGCUUUGGUGGAUAACUUAAAAAGUUUUCAUAUGAAUCUGGGAAAGCAAGCUUAUGUUGUUAUAUUAUAUUUAUUUUGUGUAUAUAGAAUCUAUAUAUAAUGUUAGUUUAAUAAAGAAAGAACAUUAUUUUUUUUGUAACUUCAAAAAGAUACAUUAUUAUAAUUUUAAAUGAAUCAAAAUUGAAUAAAAUGGUAAUUAAAUAUUUGUAAAUCUAAUUGUUUAGUUGGAUUCUCAUGAAAAAAAAAUCGAUUGGUUAAACAAAUGUUUUAAAAAAAUUUGUGGUAUUUUUUUGUCUAUAAAUUAUAAAAUUUAUUGAAUUAAUAUAUUUAAUUAUUGCAUCCUUAAAUAAUAUUUUAUUAAGACAUUAGAAAAAUAUGUUUGAGUUGUUUUGUCAAAUUGUACAAAAAUCUAUGCUUUUUCAUAUUUGUAACUUCAAAAAGAUACAUUAUGACAAUUUGAAAUUAAUCAAAAUUGAAUAAAAUGGUAAUUAAAUAUUUGUAAAUCUAAUUAUUUUUUUUAUCUUGUUUAGUUGGAUUCUCAUGAAAAAAAUCGAUAGGUUAAACAAAUGUUUCAAAAUUUGUUGUGUUAUUGUUUUGUCUAUAAAUUACAAAAUUUAUUGAAUUAAUAUAUUUAAUUAUUACACCCUUAAAUAAUAUUUUAUUAAGACAUUAGAGAAAUAUAUUUUAAUUGUUUCCUAUGCUUUUUCAUAUUUGUCACGAAAAUUUAUAUGUUAAACUUACUUUUACAAAAUUCUUAACUUUGUCACGAAAACAAAAAUCUAUGCUUUUUCAUAUUUGUCAACGUUCUCACACUUUCUAAGAAUAUAUUAGCUUAGUCACUUACUUAUUUUUUUUUUUUACAAAACAAAGUAUCGGAGUCUUGAAAGUUGAAUUUAUAUUAUUGUAAAUGUACAUAAGAGUUUGUGAUUAUAUACUUAGUGGUUCUUGUAUAUGUGGCCAAGAAUGUUUCAAUGGCUUAGUGGUAACUGUCCUAUAUAUAUAUCAUACUAACCCGGGUUCGAUUCUCACAUUCGCAUUGUUUUUUUUAUUUUUUACGAAAAGUAAAUGAGAUGACAUGGCAAUUUCGGGUUCUCUGAUUGGUUGAUUUUUCUAUCCUAUGUGGACAUCCUCUCCAUGGCUUAUAUCCCCCUUUUAGUAUAGUAUAUAUAAUACAGUUGACAAAAAAAAAAGAAUAUAUCAAAUAGUUCAUCUAAACUUUUCAAAUAAUAUUAGUAGAGAUAAAUUUGCGGCCGUGCGAAUUCUGCUCUAGUUUUAUUAAAUAUCUUGCUUUCUUAGAUCUCAAGCAACGACCAUUUGAUAUACCAACACCAAAUCAUAUAUUUAAUUCGUUCAAUACGCAACUCAAUAAGCUUUUCGACUGUGAAUCAGUUGUUCUUGCAUCGGUAUAAUAUAAGUUGUCAAUUUUUGAGAAUACCUAUUGAUUAUCAAUAGGGUAUAUUCCUAAGGACGUUCCAGCGUUAGUGAUGUAUAACCACUAACGAGAUUAGUCUAGAGACCAGUGAAGUGGUGUAUAUUAAUGACAUGAGUGUGCGGCCAAAUUAAAUAGUGGUACUACUUACUACAUACAGUAUAAAAUUAAACAAUGCAUUUUUUUAUUGUAGUGUUGAAGGGACAAGAGUCUUGACGCGGAAAAAGCUCAAAUAUAGCUUAUGGACUAAGCAUGUUGAUGUCAUAGUUUUCCAUAUUAUUUUGACCCAAAAAAUUUGUUUCUCAAUGGAAGUGGUAAGAUAUCACUUUUUCUAAUAGAUAUCUUAAAAUAAAUAAGUAUAAAACAAGAUUUGAUUUCGAAACUGCCGUAUACUUCCUUCGUUCCAAAAAGAUUCAUUUUUUUAGAAAAAAAAAAUUAAUUCAAAAAAUACAAUGUUUUACAUUUUCAAUGCAUAAAAUAAAUGCUAAUUGUAAACUUCGAAAAACAUAAUUGUGUUUAUUAAAAUUUUAUUGGUCAAAAGUUGUGGGAAAUAGUUGAUAUCGGAAAAAAUGCAGUGGUAACUAAAAUCUGAUAUAUUAUUUUUAAUAAGUGUGAAAAAUCUAAAAUAUAUAUCUUUCUAAAACAGAGGGAGUAUGUUUUAAAAUAAAUAAACACCACAAUUUUAGGCUUAAAGAUAGCUAAAUUAUUUAAUAUUAAUUUUCCAAAUAUAAAAGGUUGUGUAUUUGUUGUCCGCUGAGAAAAUAAGACAAUUGACAUUUUGCAAAUUCUAAAAUAUAAAAACAUAAAACUAAUAUAUAUUCCCUAUAUGUUAAUCCUGAAACAUUACGACAUGUUUUCGUUUUCGUAGCUACGUUUCAUUACCAAGAUGGUUCUUAGAAUUUUUGGAAAACCAAGUUGGUUCAUAUAAAUAUAUACUAUGUUUUUAUUAAACUAACUAUCAAAUUAAUUAGUAGUGUACAAAAUAAUAUUUUUGUAUUUCCUUAAGCAAAAACUACAAAAUUACCUAAUAUGAUUAACAUAUAUAUGACAAUUAAUGAUUAUGAAUAAUACAUAUUUAAUAACAAUUUUUGUAUCUUCUGUUUUUUUUUGUUUAAUUUAUAUUAUUAAAAUAAAUUAAGCAAUCACAUUAAGCAUAUAAUAAAAAAUAGAUUUUUUGUUAUAUAUUAUAUUUUUAAUUUUUAAAAACUACUGUAAAUUAUUAAAAAUAGUAAAAGUCCCACAUUAAAAUUUUUGUGAUCAAUGGUUUAACUUUUUUUUUUGUUCAGGCAAGAUACAAAUAUAUUGUAGGGGUGGGCGUUCGGAUAUCCGUUCGGGUAUGUAUCGGAUAUUUGGGAAUUUUGGAUAUUUCAAUAUAAAGGAAUAGAACCCAUUCGGGUAUUUCUACACUUCGUGUCGGGUUCGAGUAUUUUAUUUUCGGGCUUAGAUAUUUUGGGUCGGGUUUGGAUAUUUAAUUUUUGAAGAAAAAAAAUAAAUUAUUCAUUGUUAAGUUUUUUUUGUAUUUAAAAUAUACUUUUAACUUAACUGGUUUUCUAUUUUUAAAAGAUUAAACUAUUAAUAGGUUUGGAGAUAAAACUUUAAAAUAGAAAAACACUUAUUUAGUUGUUAUUUUGAAAUUUUAAAUGCAACUUUUGUUAAUGCAAAUAACAAGAUCUUGAUACUAUUUUAAGUGAGUAGCAAAUGAUUUUGUCCGUAAUUAUAUGUAUAUUAUCUAAUUUUGAGCAAUGUUCAUCAUUAAUAUAAAUAUUUAGAAAAAAAGAGAGAAGUAAACUAUAAAUAUAGGGCUACAUAUACUUGUGUUUGGUUAUCUUCGGAUAUUCAUUCGGGUUUGGAUAUUAUCUGUUCGGGUUCAGAUAUUACCCGUUUGGGUUGUAUAUCCAUUCUCUCCAAAUUCAAUAACCGUUCGGGUAUUUUACUACUUCGGUUUGAAUUUUCGGAUAGGAUUCAAAUACAGGCUCAUGUAUCGGAUAAAAUAUCCAGUCCUAAUAAAUCGUAUGAAUAUAAAGUCUCAGUAAUAGAUUUCAUACAUAUAUAUAUAUAUAUAUAUUAUUUGAAAUAAAUCAUAUACUCUAUAAAAUAUAUAAAUAUGUUAAUUCAAAAUUUGUAGUGAAACAAUAUUGAGAUCUUAAUAUUUAAAUUUUAAAAUUUGCAUUGAAAAAUCUCAUAUUAAAAGUUUUGUGAUUAAGGGUUUAAAUUUUUGUUACAACAGAUAUACAAAUGUUAAAAAAUCAUAUGAGUAGGAAAUGUCAAUAAUAAAUAUUUCUAUUAAAACAUAUUAUAUAUAUAUGUCAAUAUCAGUAAAGUUUAAUUUAUACCAUAUAAAGUAAAUAAAAUGAUUGUUUUGAUUUAUUUACGAAAAAUGUGAUUGUAAAUUUAUAAAAGGUAUUGAUUUUGAUUUAUGUGCUUACUUUAAUGUAUAUACUUUUAUAUAUACAAAUUAUUUUUAAAAUAGAUGGUUUCUUAUAUCUUAUUUGAUCCUGACAAUCUAGAAACACACUUCUUCAAAUUGAAGUGAUUUUUUGUAUUAGAAGCACUAUAUAUAUUAUUUCAUUCAGAUUAAAUUAUUUAGUCUUGAUUUUUAUCCCUAAAAAGCUUUUAAUGAUUUAUCAUGAAUCACCUCCUUUUGAAUUUGUUCGAAGAAUGAGAGAUUUGAUCAUUCGUCUAAUAUUUGUUUCUCCCUAAUACCCUAUCUACCUAUUAUAAUUGUAAGAAUGAGAGAUUUAAACUAUUUAUUAUAAGUUUUUUGGUUUAUCAUUUAAUACAUCAAAUAGUUUUUAGUUUAUACAUAGUUUACAUAUACUAGAAUUGUAAAGUAUUAUAUAUUAUAUAUAUAUAUAUACUUUUAAGUAACUAAACCUCAAAAGUGUAGGCUAAUAAAAUAAGUAAUUUGUUUUAUUGUUCUAGAAUUAGAUGAUUUUUAGACUGAACUGGUGAAUAUAUACUAGACGGACAUUUAUAUUUUGAGUCUGCACUUAUAUUUUAUAACAGAUUGAUAUACUAGAUUUGAACAUUAGCAUGUUAAUAGAGUUUGCCCGUGAUUUUUUUUUAAAAAAUUUUGAAUUUUAGAUAUGUAUCUGAAGUGGAACUAAUUUUUACAGAUAUCCAUCUUUUUAAAUUGACACUUAUGUAAUUUAUCGAAUUCAUAGAAGAAGUUGAAAAAAAUUAAACUCAUAUCAAUAAAACAAAGACGAAGACGUAAGCACAAUUUUAUAGAGGUAUAUAAGAAACUUAAGAUACAAAUUAUUUGUAAUUCAUGAAUGAUAUAAAUUAGCGAAUAAUUGAAGAAAUGUGUAGAGAGAUAUGAAGCUUGCCAAAAAAAAAGAUAUGAAGCUUGCAUGUUACCGCGGUAACAUAUGGGACCGUUAUACGAGGAAAAUUCCUUCUCCGUUUGGGUCAGCAGUGAAGCCUCACACCGCUCGUGCCCAGCUGUAUUGCUCAGUGACCCAACUCCAAAGUUUUACUUCGCAACUGGCGCCACAACUUCCACCAUCUUACUGAUUUUUUUUUCCGUCAAAGGUUUUUAAUAUUUGAAAGAAACGGGCCAAGCCCAGUACAAUAUAUUAACAGAAGCCCAACAACUAUUAGGACACCCUAUUUUCUCAAAUGGGCUAAAACCUACGGCCCACUUCGAGAAAACCCUAGAGAACGAGCGGAAAUGAAUUCGGCCGCCUCUCUAAUCCCACUUUUGGCCGCUUGUACACGUGUUGCCAUCCUCAUCCGCGAGGGAACACGUGUCACCAGGUCAGCGCAAUACCACCGCGUCUCGUCGUCGCCGGAGAUCCAACCUUCGGAUCACACGGCCAAACCGGAGCUCCAUCGCUCCGUUCCUCUUUACCUUCAACCAACUUUGGGCCUCUCAAACUGGAGAGGCUCAAUCGCCGUAGCGAGAGCUCCUCCAUCAUCAUUAACCGCCGAGACCCGCCAGAGGAAUCGCAUGCAUCCUCACUCUUUCCGCCGGAGUUCUUCCAUCUCCUCCGACGAACACACCAUCAAACAGAAACAACCAGAACUAAAGCCAGACCGAAGAAAAAAGAAAUAAACUAAACCCUGGAGAUUAGGAGCCACAAGCCGGCGACGCAAGGUUGAAGAAGCCUUCACCCCCCGGAGACUAUAUCCAAUGACAGCGGAACUGAAGGAGCUUCCCCGCCACGAAGACAAAAGACCGGCGGCGACGGAUCUGCGAUAGCCUCCGCCUCCCGGAGAUAUUAUUCCGAACACUAAAGUCUUCUCCGCGUCAUCUUUUCAGCCACCGCGUUGUUACUCUGGUCCGCCACCAACCAUCUUACUGAUUAUCUACGCACUUUUUGUUUUUAUAAUAAUGUUUAACCAGUCAGUGUCAUUGUCUCAUUGCGUACAAAAAUACGUAUUUCUAUGUUAUUUUCUCUUAUGAACAAGUAGAAAAUAACGGAAAUCAUUAUUUAUAGUUAUGUAGGUUUAUGUUCUUAAUAGAUUAAAAGUCUUUUUAUAUUUCUAAUUCAAACUUUCACUUCAGCUCUUAAAUGCGCUAUACCAUCAGCUCGAUAAGGCACGUGGUCCUGAUCCUGAAAACAUCAUUAUCGGAAUAUUGUGUUGAAGAAAAAAAAAAGAUAUAAUCAAGUCUGUUAAUAAUGUUUAGGAGUUCUUUUAUAUAUUUGAAAGGGACUAUCUUAUUGAAACGAAAAUUGUAAAGUCUAAACGCGUGAAGUGCCCACUAAAUUUCUUUUUUCCUUUAGUUUUAUUGAUCACUACAAACUUGAGAAGAUAACUUAUUUUCAUUUUCACCAUUAUAAAAGGAUAAACUUAUUGGUCGGUCUACUAAAUCACAUUGACGUACGUAGGGCUUUUGUAUGUGUGUAUGUUUUCCGUCAACAUAUAUAUAUAUUGCUUAUUUAUGUAAUUUUUAUCCCUUUUUCAUUAAUAAAAUAUAAUAUUAUAAGAAUACUGAAAUGACAAUGGCAAAACAACACUGGAAUCACAAAAUGGUUACGGAAAUAACCAAGUGUGUAAAACAAAUUUAAAAUGGACUUAACAUUAAAUAUUUCCUGAUACAAAAUUUUGUUCUGCAAGUUUUUUUGCGAAGUAUAAAUAGAAAACUGAAAUAUGAAAAUUUUGUUUUAUUUAGGAUUUCCGUGGAAUUAUUUUUAAAUAUGAACGUAUAUACGCUAUUCAUUUUUUAAAGCUAUAGUGUUAAAAAAAAAGCUACACGCCAUCUUUCUAUAAAUGAAUUAUUCAUUGGCUAAUAUAUUAUCACCGCUCUAUAAUACUAUACAAUUAGGUAAUAACCCGCACUUUGUGUAUGACGUGAUAAUUAAUUUUGUUAUUCUUUUAAUAAAAAGACAUUAAAUGUAUUUAAUCUGAAUAUUAGUUCGGUUUUAGGUUGGUUUUAUUUAGUUUUUAAUCUCCUAAAAUAUAGCUAUAAUUCAUAUCAAUAUUUAUUUUGGUUUGUUCGGUUCAAAUUGUUGAUGUUUUUGGUUUUUUGCUGAUAGCCAAAAAUUAUUAUUAUUUGUUAGAUUUCAGGUUAUAUGAAUUUUAGAUAGUCUUGAUGCCGAUUCAAUGGUUUCAAAUUAUAGUUUCUAAAAAUAUAAUAGUUAAAGAAAAGGAAAAAAAAUUAUUAAGGCAAAUCAUUUCACUACAAUUUGGUCAACAGUAAAAGAAACAUUAAAAAAAAUAUUUCAACUUCCAAGAGAAUUAGAUACUCCACUUGUGGUGAAUAUUUAGUUAUAUAGGUGUUCAUGUGAAUGUUCAUAUAUAUGUGUAGUAAAGUAUAAAAGUGGUUGGUAAAAUAUAUAAAGAUACUGUUAAUAUUAAAUGAAAUUUUUAUUCAAAAUAACACAUGAAAAAAAAAAUCUUAAAAUAAAAUUAAUUAAAAUUAAAAUAAAUCAAGACAUUAGUGAAUUUUCUUUCAUAUAAAGAAAAUGAAAUUGUAUAUGUAAAUAGAAGUGGACACGGAUCAAAUAUCUGGUAUUUGGAAGUAUUUAUGUCGAUUUGAUCCGUAGCCACCCGGAUAUACGAUAUCGAUAUCCGAAAAUUUUAGAAUUUUCACGGAUAUCCGAUUUGAACCAAAAUUAAAUUUUAAAAAUAAAUAAAAAAUCAAAAAAAUAAUAUAAAAUAAUAAUAUUUCAUUACAAAAAUAUAUUGUUAUGAAAAUUUUAAACUCCAAUACCUAAUAUAAUAAAUUUAAUACAUAAAAAUACUGUAAAAAUUAUAUAAACUAUAAUAUAUAUAUAUAACUUAUCUAUAUAUAAUUCUUUAAAUAUAUGUAUAUAUAUAUGCAUAUAACGGAUAGAAUCAUAUAUAGGUUCCUAAACAUAUUAGUAUUUUUAUUUGCUUUUUUUUUACAUAUAUUGCGUUUUAGUAUUUGACUUUUUUCGUAGUGUUACGGAUAUCCGGAUUUUUUGGUUCUAAUCAAAAUGGAUAACGAAUCAAAUAAAAAAUUUAUGAAUAUUUUGCUAAGCCUAUCCGUAAAUAAUAAAAAUAAUAUAUAUAUAACUGGACUUUCGAUUCAUUAUCUGUUUUGAUUCGAAUAAAAAAAUCUGGAUAGUAUGAGUUUUAUUGGAACCUUACAUGUGAGUUUUAUAUUUAAAAACAAAACGUAAAGUACAUAGUGUGAACAUAUUUAUAUAGAAUUUGACUGAAAAACUCUAUACACGUGACAUCUCAGCGUGCUCAUUCUCAAAUCGCUGUGAGGCUGUCGCGUGUCUAUUAUAGUAAUGUAUACAUCGAUCAGGGCCGUGCCUGAUACCAAGCCCAUCAAGCAUUGGCUUUGGGGCCAACAAGAGAAUAUUUAUUUUAGGGGCCAAAAAUAAAUGAAGUUUCUCUCUAGUUCUGGUGGUAAGAGCUAGAUAUAUAACAGUGAGAGGUUAUGGGUUCGAAUAACAUGGGAACACCUUUUAAUAUUUUCAUGUUUUAUUAAGAUUAUGGGCCAAAAAAUUUUUUUUUGCUUCUGGGCCCGAAAUUGUCAGGCCCGGCCCUGACAUCGAUAUUAAGUUUCCAAAGAUAUUUUCUAGCUCAUUCUUCUUCAGUGGAAGACAAAUUCUCUAUAACAUGUAGUCGUAAUGGUUAAUUAAGAUAUAUAGCCAUUUGAGAUAAAAUGCGACACAAGUAACUACCAAACGAAGGAGUUUUUGUUAGCAACGUCUCAGUAGAGCAACUCUCGUAAACCAUAAUUAUUUAGGAUGAUAUGAAUGAUCUACAUGUAUAUGUAUUUGUAUGCCCGCUGAGCUUAUAAUUAAAAGCAUAUUAUAAACACGAUUUGAUCGAUGACAAAUUACAACACAAAUCAAGGCUGGACCGAGGCGUCGCAAAUAGCUGCACCAGAAGCUCAAAUAUCAUAAAGCUUCGUUUUUACGUUCAACUAUUUUAGUUUGCUGAAUCAUUUCAAAAGACAGUUUACAUUUCAAAAGACAGUUUACAUAAAUUUUCGUAGAAAUAGCCAAAGAGCAAAACGACAAGUUUCAACUGUUAAGUUGACAAAUGUUUUUGAGUGAUAGGUAACUCUGUCAGUUUCGUCCAACGGUAUAGACUGUAUCUGUGUUUGUCAACAUUUAACUCUCUAGAGAAUCUCUCCAUGCGAUAGUAUUCACACAUAGGAGUUGGAUGGUCACUUUUUUUUUUUUUUUGGAUGGUCACAUUCUUGUCGCGAUGGUUUAAAUGUUUAGAAGAGUAAAACUCAACGUGUCGUUUUACGACGUUAUGAUUGGGAGUCACGUAUGUAUAAUGCCAUCUCGAAGGGGUAACAUCCCGUGGGUCAAAAUGGUUUGAGGAGAAUCUAUCUGAAGAUACGUUACUUAUUUCACCGGCCAGAGCUAACUAGAUAUGACACGUGUAGCUAGAGCAAACUUGAUCAGAGAUUUUCGACAGAGUUGAUGCGAGUAAUUUACGGAAGUGAUAAAACGGACAAGUAUAGUAAAUGGUGAUAGAUACUCAUCGUUGACUGGUUCUAUUAAAACAAAGAGAGGAAAGUAUUUAUAUAUUUUUUGAAAGCCCUUUUUCAAAAAAAAAAAAAGUAUUUAUAUAUUUGUAUUUGAUACCAAAACAUACGACAAUAUUCGGUAGAUAAAGCAGUUUACCAACUAAACUAGGUGAUGAUCCGCACCCUGCGCGGAGCGAAUAAACAAAAGCGAUUUUUAUUUUUUAAUUUAUUGAUAUUAAAAAAUUUAAAGUUAUAGGCACAAAUAUUAGAUUUAAUGAUAUAUAUCAAACGAAAUUCUGCAUGUAUAUAUAAUGUAAGCUUAAUUGCUUUUUUUUUUAGAAAAGUUUGUGUAAUUGGUUAUGUGUAAAUUAAAUAUAUUGUAUAUAAAGGUGUAUAAUAAUAUGCAAUAACUUAUAUUAAUUUAUUAUAUAUUUAAGACAACACAAAACAUAGAAAAUAGAAUUACUGCUUUCAUAAUAAAAUUAUAAUUAUAAAAUUAAAAGAAAUAUAUGUAAUAGAAAAAUAAAAUACGAAAGAAACAAAUUAUAAGGAAACAAAUAAAAAACUGAUAAAACCAAAAUGCCGUGAAAAAGGUCUUUAGAACUCCUGGUUUGCAAUCCUAUAGAGAGAAAUAAAUAAUAAUUAAUUUACCAAACUAAACAUACCUACUUACCAAAUUCACUAAACGAAUUGAUAUACCUCUUUCUGAAAGCAUCGAUUUCUAGAACGUCAUUGAGUUCAAAAAUAAUUUUGGAAAACCAAUCAAUGUUAAUCAUGUUGAUGUUUGCUUGAGAGAAUGUUUAGAUAAAUAGGGAGUAGAAAAUAAGGAUGUGGUGAGUUUAUGAAUUGUGGAUAACAUAUAUUUAUAUUAAGAAGUCAAACCAGUGUAGGUUUAAUGAAACAAAAUCGAUUCGCCGUAAUUAAUACUGAUAUUACCUAUUUAAUUUUGCAUAACUUGCGCUCCAAUUAUAAACUAAACUUAUCAUAAUUUUGUAGACACUAUAAUCAAACUUCUAUAUAUAUGACAAAAUUGAGAAAAAGUUUGCAAGGCGCACAAUUAUUAAUUAAUUCAAAUAAUUUUAAUUCAUAAUCUAACUUCCUUAUAUACAACAGUCAAUUAUUUGAAAACAAUUGUAACCAUAAUUGACUCCUUAUUAUAUUAAAAAAUUUAUCAAAUUGAAUGUGUAACAGAUUAUUGACUCAUUAUUAACGUUACCAAAAUAAUUAAAUGGUACCAAAAUCGUAAAUUAAAAAUAUAUCAAAGUUAUUAGAAGUUUCGUUUUUAACAAUCGUGUGCCCGGUUUUCCUUUCAAAUCACGUUUCUUUAAUAUCACCAAGAUUUGAAUUUGUAUUUUAAUAUUGAUUACAAUAAGUUUAAAUUUUAUAGGCUCCAGAAUUUCUAUAUAUGUCCUUUAACGGAUUUAUAUGGGUUUUCUAUGGUGAUGACAUUAUAUUUAGACAUUGAAUUUGUAUACACUAUAGUUAUACAUUAUACUUAGAUUGCGUUUAUAUAUAUAAUGUCUAACUAUAUAUAAAAUGAUGUAUGAUAAAUAAUAUUUGUAAAAAAAAAACAAUAUUUUUGUGAAGAUACUACAUAGGACCAGGCCUGUCUAGAACAAAUAUUUUUGAUCUAGGGUUUAGUGUAUAAAUCGUUACAGUCCUCUUCAUGUGUAUAGCCACUCACAAAAUCGUAAUCUCAUAUAUAAUUACCUUUGUAAAUAUAGGAAAAUAAUAAUGACAGCAUUAAAACGUAGACGUGUUAUUUUUUUUGUUAGUCAAUAAUGAAGAAGCUUAUAUUAUAUUAGUCAAAUUAUAAUUUAAUGAUUAAUGGUAAUUUUUGUAAUUACUCUAGUUAACAAAGGAUUUUUAAAUAUAGGAUGUGAGAGAGCUUGUGGUGCUGCCACGUAGGAAAUUACAAUAUUGAAAAUAACACAUAAACUUAAGGUUAAUUCUCUAUAAUGCUCCUCAAAUAAUAUAAAAGGGAUAUGAAAACGUGUGUUUGGUAUGUCGAUAUAUACGGGUACGACGUAUUUAAUUACUUUCCUUUUUUAAUAUAAACAAACCGGCCCGAACCGGAAAUCUAGUGUCGAUUACAAAGUUUGAGUGUGACAAAAUUUCUUGUUUGUUUACUACUAGUUUCCCUUCCUUACACAUACCUAGCCCGCAUGGUCCGCUAACAAGCUGGUAAGGACAUCUCCGGAAUCGUUUCCCAUUCUCACCCUGAAUAGAGAUAGCUCGAAAAGAUGAAAUUAAUACGGAAUUAGCUAGCUUGCAGGACCUUUAAGAGAUUUCUCGAUCUUAGUUCCCUUCCAAUUAGAGUAGCUAGUCCCUGAUGACUUCAUCUAGCCUAUAACCUAUCCGUUCUAUGAAGCUUCAAUGAAUUUCCUAAUCAUUUGAAAUGAUGGUUUAUUUGUUAUGUACAACAUCUUUUACAAUUCUUAAAAGGAACACCUUUAAAGUAUAAGGAUAGAUGGGUUAUGUAAACGUUUUGUCGGUGGUGCUGGUCUUGCAUUUCUAAUCCUUGAGCUGAAAUCUCAUUCAUCUUCAGUUAUCAUAUUAUGCAUUAUAAUGCAUGAUGCCAUUAUAUUAUGUAAUACCUCUUUUUCCAAUAACGUGAGGAUCCUGAAACAUAGCAAAUUUGGAUUGUAAAACUCAGAGAGCUCGUUCAACAUCUUUCCGACAUGAUUCUUGUCUUGAUGUAAGCAAUUUUGGACCUUGGGAAUCACAUAUUAUCUGGACAAUUGUUGACUAUUUAGGAUAUAUACAAUUAGCUAAAUAAUAAUUUAUGCAAUACUCUUGUCCUUGAAUUGUGUAAUUAGCUGCAGGAGCGGUACCUUGAAAAAUGAAAAUACAUUAAAAAAAUUAAAACAUUAAUAUCAUUGUUGAUGCGUGGCAUUCAUAAAUAAACAUAUCAUAUUAUGUAACCGCUUCGAGAAUGAUAGUGGGUGAACCGCUAUGACCUGAAAAUUCCCCUACACACGCAGGUAGACAAUUUUUCACUUUCACUGCAUACAAUCAAUAUUUUCUAACAUUCCAAGAAUCAUUUCUGGCCAAUAUUGAGAAAUUUGGAAACGUCCUAUGUUGUUGCUAACCUGACAUACCACUCUGAAAACACAUAUAUUAUUGAACGACAAAACCAUUUUAUGCAUUCAAUUGCUGUAGACUCCCCAAUUUGGAUGUAUUCAUCUGUCGCAUCAUCAGACAUGCCAUAUGCCAAGAUCCGAACAUAUAGCAGUUGUUACCUUUUAUAAAGUUGAUUAUUCAAGUCUACCAGAUGCAUCAUCAUUGGUCGAAGAGUUGGGUGAUCCAAAUGCAAAAUAUGCAUACAAGUGGUGCAUCCAUACAAGACGUUGUAAGUAUAAAUCAAUUAAUGUGUGUUAUUUAGUUAUUUUAUUAUUUAUAUAUUAAUAUCAAUAUUUUUGUUCCAAAAAUAUAAUAGAUGGUGUAAGUAAAAAACAAUAUUGGUGCAAGAUCUAAAAUUAAAAAGGUUUAAAAUUUGAUCAUGUGUGGAUAUUGAAAUUUUUUACAACGUUUUCAGACAAUGUGAAUAUCGGUAUUUUGGAUAAUGAGAGCGGCAUCGACGAUUUUCCAACAUCACAAUCUCCUGGAUUUUCUUUAUUUUAUAUCAAUUUAUGCAGUGAUGAUGGUAGUUUAAAUUCAUCACAACAUCCUAUUGGAUAAAAGAAAGCAAAACUCAAAAGAAAACUUGCUGAAGGUAAUAACUCAUCUACGGAUAAUUUGGUUUAAUCAAAUGAACAAGUCAAAUAGGAAAAAAACUAUGAGAUAGUUAAGUUACACAAGCAAAAUCAAGCUAAAAUAUUAUGUCUAAAAUAAAUAAAGAAAAAAAAUCUUGUUGGCAAAUUUAAACUUCAUUGAUGAUAGUAUCACUUGCCAGUUUAUCCGAUCUUAUUAAGCAAGAAUCAUAAAAAAACUCAACAACAACAAUCUGAGACUGAUCCAGUUGUAUGGAUAUUAUUUUGGUGAUCACGGAAAUUCGAGAUCAAAUUUACCUGAAUAUUGGUAUUGUAAUAUAUAUUAAUCUGUGUCAUAUUUCCAGCUUAUUAUGUAAUUUUUAUUUUGAUGAAAAAUAUUAUGAUUGUAUUGUGAGUUUUAAUUUGUGUAAAAUUUCCUAAAUAUAAUAUUAUUGUUGUGUGAAAUAAUAUGUUUAUAUAAAUAGGACAAAGGUAAAAAAAGGUAAAGUAUUUUAAGGGAAGUGAAUAGUAUCUCCUCAGAUUUGAGGGUGUACAAUUUACCCAAUUAAAAUUUGAAGAGGUAAGAAGAGAAUGUCCAAAAAUUGCUUUUUCAUAAGAUUUUCAAAAAAUCAAUACUAUUAAAAGGGAAUGAUUUUUUAAAAAUCUACCUAUGAAAGGUUGUUGGACCCUUUCAUUAGUAUUUUGUAGACCAACUAAAUAAUCUCCCUAAAUAUCUCCUAAUAAUUAUCAUAUGUAUAAUUCUGAAUUCAAAUAUCAUUAAUAUCCUUUUUUUGUGCAACCAUCAUAAACAUCCUUAGAAUAUCAUAAUAUACAUCUACGACAGCUACAUAAAUAUUCGUUGAUAGUAUUACUUUUAUUUUUCUACGUAAUAGUUGCCAUAUGUCAACAACAAGAUGUUACCAUAUAUAAUACAUUAGUAUUUCAUGAGAAUUAUAGUGUCUUCAUUCUAAUUUUAAUCGACAGCUAAAUACAUCACCAAAACCGAAAUUAUAUCAAGACAUAAUCAUAAAACUUUAUGUACAUAUAUCUAUACUAAUAAAAAAUGAAUCAUUCUUAAAAUCUACUAUAAAAAGAUUGUUGAACCAAUGUAUAACUAUUUUAUUAUAUUGAUCCUACCACUAAUUAUUGAAUACUUCAAAUGGCUCCUAUUAUUACUCCUUAGUUCAUGUGAUACACUUCUUUUCUAAAAUAUUUUAACACCUCUACAAUUAUGGUUGUUAUGAAAUAUUUUUAUACAAUGACAGAUCUUGGAAACUUUUUAAUUGGGAGCACAACUAAAAACUUAUAAAUUUGAUGGGGCAUUAUCAUAGAAUUUGAGCUCAUUACUUCAAAAAAACUCAAGAUUUGAGCUAAAUACUUAAAUAAAAAAAAUAGACCUACAUCCGGCUCUGUUGUUAUACACCAUAUUUUAUGCUUAAUAUAAACCUACAGAAUUUACACAUUAUUACCAAAAAUAUAAUAUUACCAAAAAUAUAAUUUAACAAUUUUGAAAGUUUACCGAAACCCAAAACUAUAGCCAAAAAUCACAUUAGAAACUUAAAAAAAAUAUUUGUAAUACUGAAAACAUAUAUGAAAUACCAAAAUAUACAUAAUAUACAUAAAAUAUUUUAGGUACUUUGGGUACCCGAACUUGAAUAGAGAUCCACAGGUCCAAAAAUAAUACCUAAUAGAUUUUUGCUCCAUUCAGAACCUAAACCUGUAUUUUUGUAUUAGUUUUAGUUCAGUUUUUGGGUCUGGGUAUAUAUAAGAUACAAGAGUGUACAUACAAAAAUCUUAAAUAAACUAAUUCAUAAUUUAUGUAAUUUUUUUAAAAAAAUUCCUUACUCGAUAUUACGACUUAAAAUAGUAAUAACAACAAUAAUAACAAUAAUAAUAAUUAUACGAUUUUAUAACAUAAUAAUAUGCAAAAUUCCAAAAUAUCGGAUUUAUAUCAAAAAAAUUUUAUAACCUAAAUAAACCCGCGCUUCAAAAGCGCAGGUCAGAAUCUAGUUAAAUAUUAAAAUAAUAACAUUUGGAGAGAGAGUAUCAUGUAAAGUUCUCUGCACAAGAUUUCUAAAACUGUUUUAAAACUUGUGUUGCCAUAUGUUAUGAUAUAAAUGGCUUCUCAUUUACAAAUAAAAUAAAUUUUAGUGAGACAAUUCUAUUAUUUUAUUAAUAUUAUUAUUUAAUGGUUUAUAUGCUGAGAUUUAGAACUUCAACUUUUUUUUUUUGGUAAAAAUGUUAAUAUAUUAGUACCAAGGUUUUUCGUUUUUGACAGAAUUACAGCAGCGACAAAAAACGGAGAAAGAAAAUAAGAACCUAAACACGGCCACAAUCUUAACUAUAACGAGGCAGACAUAACAACCACAAUUGAAACUCCGAAGCUCAACCAAGUCCGCACCAACAGCUUGCCGCAAAAGGAUGAGCCAAGUUCAACCGAGAGUCGAGAUCCCGGUAAUUUUGGCCUCUCCGGUGAUCCGCUCUUAAACGUAAUGGGCCAACCGAGAAUAGCUCGCCGAGGGCUUCAAAGCACCUGCCUGCAAGAAUAUAAAACCACAUCGAUUAAAUCAAGAAAGUGCAAGUUCAAGCACUGUCUCGAAUUUGGAUCGUGAAGAUCUUGGGGAUGUUACUGCAUUUCAGAUGAAUGCUGGCGAAGAUCUCGACUAGGAUGAUCUCACUUAAAGAUUCUCCUCUUUGUACAGAUUAAGACUCCUACAGUUUUCUUAUGUUCAAGCCAGAGUACUUAAAGAAAGUUAUCAUUUUGGUCAGAUCCUUGGUUAUGUGAAUGAUUUGAUUAUAAAGGCUCUGAAUUCAGUUUUGUGCUUUUUUCUAUACUAAAACCCACUUGAGCACUCUUUCAAGCCUUUGUUUUAAUUUGUUAAAUCUUCUGGUCAUACAUGUUUAACAUAUGCUGGUAAUUUCUUCUGGUCAUACAGUGUAAUUAGUAGAAUUAGGCAUUGGGAAUUUGAUGGAGGAUGACCCAACCUCCUUGGUGUUAGCCUCGGAUUCUUCUUUAACGUCUCCUAUGGUAAUUGAUAUUCUGCGGUUGUCUUCUCACAUACUCGAUUUGAUAUCUCUCGUGUUUGCUCUGAUACCAAAUAUAUAAUCUCGAUCUCAAGAACACAAAAUAAUAACUCAAACUCAAACUCUUUAUUGCUUUAGAAAACUCACUCAAAAACUAAAGCUCUCAACUCUCAAAACUUAUAAGUUUUGCUACAACCUAGCAUCUCCUUAUAUAACCACAUAUCUUUUCUAAACUCAUUAGGUAAACACAUAUUGAAAAUUUCUUAAUCUAUAACUCAAUAGUAUUAGGUUGCUUGCUUCUCAAGCUACUUCAAGCUUAUCUCAACAUGCUUCAAUUAUUUCAUGAUAAUCUGAUCUAGCGACGACCUCUUGUACUUGUAAGUCCCGAACAGUUCUCAUUGCCCAUCUGUUACCCUCAGUUCAGCUAUCAUUCGAUUAGGUGAUUGAGUGAUAGCAUCUCUUGCAUGGUGCGUAACUUGCCAUCAUGAUUUCGUGUUAUCCACGCUCUAUGUAAGUGAGCAUUUCUCCAGUUCGCAUUGAUAUUCCACUUUACGACUCCACUGAGUGGAGGAGUCCAUUUAUCAUGGUUUCCAAAUCCACAGCCAGCCUAUUGUUGGGCAGUCAUAGUAAACCAUUGCCCAACUUCAUCCUUCAUGUUUUUUUUAUCACUCUUUCCACCAACUCCUGGGCUGAAGCAUAGAGAAUAUAGUCCCAAGUAACCAUGGAAUGGAACCAAGCGUAUCACCUUGUGUGGCUUAUUUCGGUCUUCCAACAGGUUGAACACAAAAGUGCAGUUCAAUUCAAACGAUUAAUGCAUAACUGUACUGCAAAGGGUAAUACCUGCAGUCAGAUGACCAUUUGAAAUUCUUUUCAUUUUUGUCUGUAGGAUUCAUGCUUUUCUGAAAAUGAUCAGAACAUAACUGCUAUCAGGUUGCUCGCAGCCUAUAAUGAAAGCUACAUCGAUCAAAUCAAGAAAGUGCAAGUUCAAGGGCUGUCUCGAAUUUGGUGAAGAUCUCGACUAGGAUGAUCUCACUUAAAGAUUCUCCUCUUUGUAAAGAUUAAGACUCCGACACUUUGCUUAUGUUCAAGCCAGAGUACUUAAAGACUGCUAUCAUUUUGGUCCGAUCCUUGGUUAUGUGAAUGAUUUGAUAUGAAGGCUCUGAAUUAAGUUUUGUGCUUGUUUCUAUACUAAAACCCACUUGAGAACUCUUUCAAGCCUUUUUUUAAUUUGUUAAAGUCUUCUGGUCAUACAUGUUUAAUAUAUGCUGGUAAUUUCUUCAUUUGCGGUAAUGUUAGCGAAACCAUCGUAAAUCUGCGUAUCAAUAUCAUCUUCGUAACUAGUUUUGUUGUUCACUGCUAUAGUUUCACUCUUAUUUCUUUUAUGAACACCAAAUAACCAUUUGGAUUUUCCAGACACAGUAAAACCUCUAUAAAUUAAUACUCGAUAAAUUAAUAAUUUCUAUAAAUUAAUAAAUUUUGUCGGUCCUAACUUGGGCCGGUUCAAAAUUGACAUAAAUCGAUAAAAUAAUAAGAUAAUUUUUUUUUAGAAAAUUAUAUGUAAAUAUAUGGUCCCAUUAAAAUUAUGAAUUAAUAAUUUAUAUGUAUACAUAAUAAAUUAUAUUGUUUGUUUUAUAUUCACAAUGAAAUUAUUUUUAUAUUUUCUUAACAGUUAAUAUGUUUUUGAUGAGAUUUAGUGUUAUUAUAUCGAAAACUAGUUGAUUAUCCGCACCUUGUGCGGACUAAUAAUAUAUAUAUACUUAACAACAUUUGUUUCAUAGUUGUAUUUAUGGGAUGUAGAUGUUGGAAAAAUCUUAUAGUAAUAAUCUAAUUAGGAAAUUUCGAUUUGAAGUUAAAACUUUAUAUAUAUAUAAACAUUAUUCAACUUUGAUAUUCAUGUUGGUAAUCAAUGUAUAUAAACUAUAUAUAUAUAUAAUUAAUGUAUUUGUUGACUGAAAAGACAAGAAUUAUAAACAAUCACAACAUAAUAUUGGUCAUUAAAAUUGGUAGAUAUUAUUAAUAUCAAUUGUCAAUAUUUAUUUAUUAAUUAAAUGUUCUAAAUAUCUUGAUGAGUUUAUAUAUUAAAAUAUAUAUAUUUAACCAACAGUAUAUAUAUCAGUUGAAUAAGUUAAUAUUUAUUCAUUAUCUUAAAUAUCAUUAUAUUUAUUAAUUAAAAUUGUAAAUAAUUAUAUUAAUUAAAUUAAUGAUUUAUACUAAAAUCAGGAUUAUAUUAACUAAAUUAAUGAUUUUUCCUAAAAUCAUGGAGAAGAUGACAAGUAAGCAAAUUUACUUCUCAAAUAAUAAUAAUAAUAAUAAUAAUAAUAAUAUAGGUGGAUAUUUAUUUAUUAAUUAAAUGAUCUUAAUAUCUUGAUAUGUAUAUAUAUUAAAAUAUAUAUUUUAAAUAAUAGUAUAUAUAUAUAUAUCAGUUGAAUAAUUUAAUAUUUAUUGACUAUCUUAAAUAUCAUUAUAUUUAUAAAAUAAAAUUUUAAAUAAUUAUAUUAAUUAAAUUAGUGAUUUAUCCUAAAAUAUAUUUAUUUAUUUAUUCAAUGUUCUAAAUAUCUUGAUAAGUAUAGAUAUUUAAAUAUAUAUAUAUAUAUAUAUAUAUUUAAAUAACAGUAUAUAUAUAUAUAUCAGUUGAAUAAAUUAAUGUUUAUUGAUUAUCUUAAAUAUCAUUAUAUUAACUAAAUAAAAAUUAAAAUAAUUAUAUUAAAUAAAUUAAUGAUUUAUCUUAAAAUUAUGGAGAAGAUGACAACUACGCAAAUUCACUUUUUAAAUAAUAAUAUAUAUAUGUUGUCAAAAAAACAAUAUAUAUAUAUAUAUCACAUUUAAGUUCUAUGCAAUAUAUAUUAUAUACACCAAAUAAUAUAGUAAAAUUAAUAUAAAUUUCAUAUUUCAAAAAAGAAUAAUUAAUUCUUUAUACUAAAAUCAAAUAUUUUCUUAUCUUAGAAUAAAUAUAUCUUAAAAUAAGAAUUUUAAUUAAGAAAUUUUUUGAAAAUUAAUAUUUCUAUAAAUUAAUAAAAUUUCAAAGUCCAAACAUUAUUAAUUUAUAGAGGUUCUACUAGUUUUUUUUUUCAAAUUUUGUUUUUCCAGAUAUCUAUUUACCACGAACAACUUUGUACGUGAGACAUGAAUGAAAAGGAAGGAAAUUUAGACAUAAAUCAUAAUUCCAUUGAAGACAAACAUGUAUAGUACUUUUGUUGAUUAGUUUUUUUUCUUGGUUUAAAUUAUAGUUUGAUUUACUUAAUUUAAUUUGUUGGUCAGAAUGAUUUUGGUUUAAUUCAAUUGAAACUAUUGUUCUACUAAAAAAAAUCAUAAUUUAAUGGUUAAAUUAAUCAGGUUUUCAAUAACCAGUGUGGUUACCUGUGGCCAAAGAAUUAACAAAUAUGUAGCCAAUGUAAUUUUUUUUGUCAAAUUGCAUUAAAUAUGUGGUCAAUGGAUAAAUAAAUUUAUCAAAAUAUAAAAUCAGUCAAAUUAAGUAAAUCUGCGAUCAAAAGAUAAUAGAUGUAUCAAAUUCAUAUUAAAUCUUUUAAAACCUAAAUAAAUCUGUCAAAAAUAGGUAAAUCAAUGGCCGAAGAAAAAAACUUAAUCUAUCAAAUUUUAUAAAAAUCUGUUAAAAUUAAGUAAAUUUGUCGACAAAUAAACUAAGUUUAAUUAAAUUUGUAAAAAACAUCAUAAAUCUGUGACCAAACGUGACAAAUUUGUAGAAAUCUAAUUAGUUUAUAGCAUUUAAGAUAAAUCUGUCACAAAAAAAUAAAAAUAAGUUUGUAAUUACAUAAAACGUGAACAAAAUAAGUCAACUAGUAAUGUAAUUUUCGUAGUUAUUAGUUUUAUAUCAAAUGAGCUAGGGGUAAAACAUGUACGAAACUAAAUUAGUAAUUAUAAUAAAAUUAGAGUCUUUCUAGUAAUCAACUAAUGAAUUAGGGUUGAACUAAAAUUUCCCCUUAAUUUAUUAAAAAUAUAAUUCUAAAUAUUUAAACUAUCUUUCUUACGUUGUAUUCCGCCUAAAAAUGUUUUUGCUGUCAACUCUCUUAGCGAUUCCAGUGAUCACUUUCGGCAAUAUGGACCAUUUCAUUUGAUGAAAAAAAGAUAUGAAGAAGAAAAAAAAGGAAGAAGAUUGUUGAACCAAAAAAGUUGAAUCAAUGUGAUUCAAUGUCACUCAAUGUCAAAAACAAUAUCAGUUUAGAUAAAAUCAUAAGGUUUUCUCAGAUUUAAAACAUAGAAUGCAUAUCAAAAAAAAGAAGAUAAAAAACGUAUAUGACGUUAGAGUAUAAAUUCUAAUGUGUUUAGAAGGUAGCAUACAUGUAAGGAGUAGUUAUUUUAUCAACGAUAUAUGAUAUAGUAAGAGAUAGAACAUAAAUGAAUGUUAUCUAUAUUUUUCAACAAUGAAGUAAAAAGCGUACAAUAUAUGUUGUACUUUAUAAUAAUAAAUACGUUUGGUUAGAACUGAGGUACCCAUAUUCUAUAUUUAGAUAUACCAUAGAGAAUACUUUAAAAUAUGAAUAGUAACCUUUAUAAAAGGUUGAAGCAAUUAGAACAUUUAUUUAAUCCUUGUAAAUAGUUAUAAUAUGCAAUCUAGCAAAUCUAGAUCAACAUAUCCAAAUUCUUUUUGGAAAUAAAUUUUUGUAUUCCAAAACUUGUAAAAUAAUAUAAGGAUCAUAUUGAUUUUCCAUAAUUUUUUAUUUAUAUUUAGUUUUAAUAUUUUUUUGGUAUUAUUAGGAUAAUUAUUUUAAAACUGACUAUUUAAUACAAAAUUAUAAAGAGACAAAAACAUUCUCAUUAUGGCUUAUUUUGUGGAUUUCUCUUUUAUAAAAAGGUUAAAAAGCAGACUAACAACUUGUUCUUCACUAAAAAAAAACUUAAAUUCUCAAUUCAGUGUUUCCUAAUUUGUGAAUAUAUAUUGCCUAAGUGAUUUAUUGACUAUAUUACUUCCAUUUACAAAAGCAAAACACAAAAACAUAUCCAAAGCUUCCUUUUACCAUGAAAUCAUCUAUAUAAAGAUCAUUACUACUGAAGAAAUAAUUUAUCAUUCCAAGAAAAAUAUUAAAAAUGUCAGAGCCCAAAAAUAAGAAGAUCAAACACAUUGACGAGCUGCCUGAAGAUCUCACUGUAGAGCUGCCUGAACAUCUGGUGGAGUACAUCAUAUCAACAUAUUUGCCCAUCCAAUAUGUUCUACAAAACCAUGUUGUGUCCAAAACAUUCAGGGAAGCAGCAAUUCGAUCCCGAGACCUUGAUUUCGGCAGGAUAUACUCCAGGAGACGUAGUCAAUCAGAGGUUGUACAUAUAAUUGAAGAGAUUUUUAAUCAACACAAAGGAUCAGAAAUCAACCGAUUUGUUCUGAUUCUCAAUCAUAUUGGCGUAGAGGAUAAGGUACUCUCGUGGGUAAAAACAUGCCUAAGUAAAAACAUUCAAGAGCUGACGUUAAACUUCUCCAAAUCCAAGAAAGUCAUGGAUCUCUCUGUUGAUUUCUCGGCCAUCGAGACACUAACUGUCUUGAAUCUAAGGUGGUGUAAAUUCGAAAUACCGAAUAAUACCCCAAAGGGUUUAAGACUCUUGAGGACACUUGCGCUCAUGAAGUCCAACGUAACACCAGAGAUGAUAGAUGCAAUAUUCAGCAACUGCAUUCACCUCGAGACGCUUGAACUAACCAGAUGCAUAACGCAUGGGGUAUUGAGCAUCAAUGCUCACAAUCAUAAGAAGUUCAAGGAACUGGUCCUGUAUUGUAUGCCUAAUCGCUUGCAAAUCAUUUUAGAUGCACCUACUCUUGAAUGCUACAAGUAUGAAGGAUUUGUUAGGAUUCUUGACUUUUCAAAAGUGGACGCACUUAAGGAGGCGAAACUCCAUUAUAUCCAGAAUUACAAUUGGCGUUAUUACGAUUCGUCUAACAUGGUGCUUGCUAACAUGGUGGCCUAUACAGGAGUUCAUGUCCUCUCAACGACAAAUAUCUUUCUUGAGGUAAACUUUUUCGAAUUUACUUUUCUUAUAUUUAUAAAAGUGUUUCCUGUUUUUAUUGCAAUGUCUGAGGAAAAUUUAUAUAAGGUAUCAUUUUUCCACAAAAUGAAAUAUAGGAUAACUUUACAGAUAGAGACACUCUUGAGUGAAUUUUUAGAGUUCCUUCUGCAGUUUUGCACAAAUUCUUUAGGUGAUCAACUGAUCAUGAUAGAGGAUGUUCAUCUUAGAUAGACUAUGCAACAUUCACAUGCGUUUGUUUCCUGUGUUUAUAUAACUCACUUUGUUUUGUUUAUAACUUUGGCAGUCUUGGUUUACGUACAUGAAUUUUUAUGUUUCCUUUGACAUGUAUAUAUAGGCAUUCAAGGAAAGAUACAUAGAGGGAGAAAUGAGAAGCCCCAUUUUCAAAUUUUUGAACUUGAAAGAAUUCAGUAUUCUUUUUAAAGCUCCAAACUUGUGUACUCUUUAUCACAUUUCUGAAUUCCUCAAAAGAUCCCCUAAGGUCGAAAAGGUUUUGAUCGAUGUACGUAUCUCUCUAUCUAUCUCAAAAUCAAUAAUUCUCUAACUCUAAUUAAGUUCAUUAAAAUUCUCGUUUGGUAAGUGCAGAUUAAGGAGUUCACAUUUGAACCUGGUAUGCUUUGGAUAAUUCAUCAAAUGUCAUAUAUGGAGAGCAGCAACUGCGAGUUUAACUCUAUCAAGGAAGUCACGAUUGAUGGCUACAAAAACCAUUGGCAUGAGCUUGAUAUAGUGGAGUUCUUUUGCAGGCACGCAAAAUCGCUAAAGAAGUUGAAGUUGAUCAUUCCAAAAAACGUUAAGAAAAGAGCUCGCGGACUCGAUUAUGCUAGGCUGGAUUACCUAAAAAGCAGAUUUACAGGUGUUAUAGUGGAAGUUUAAAUUCAGGAUAUGACCAAGCAUGGCAAACUAUAAUAGCUCUUCUGAUGUGUUUUUUCUAAAAAAAAAUUUAAUGUUAUUUUCUGAGAUUUGAACUCUUUUGUUUUUAGUUUUGGUAAUGUUUAAGCUAUAAACUAUGUCAUGAUCCGCGUAACCUCGCAGAUUUCUUUUCUAGCGAAUGGAAUAAAACAUAUAAAAAUAUAAAUAAUAUGAUGUGUGGUGUUAUAUAAUUUUGUUCUAUAAUAUUUAUUUAUCUAAAUUAAUUAACAUUAUUUUAAUUUAUACAAAACUAAUAGUGAAUCAGUUAUUUUAUAAAUCUGUCGAAAUAUUAGGAAAGUAAAAAUAAUGAAUUUGUUAGUUUAUAAACAGACAAAAUGGAUAUAUUAAAUUGAAAAACAUACAAAACAAUAAUUAAGUUCAAAUGAAUGUUUAUGUUUAAAUAGUAUAAGAUUUAUUGGAAUCAUUGAUAUCAAAGUGGUUUUGGUCUAAUUUGCUCAUAAACUACUCAUACAAAAAAGUUUAGAGUCAUAUAAAAUUGGAAAAACAAUAAUAGAUGCUAAAUUUUAUUACAAUCAAUAAUUAUUUCUUAUUGUGAAAUUACUAUAAAUUACUGUUAGUAAUUUGUUUAGCAUCCAUUAAGUAAGAAAUCAACGUUGGUCAGUAUUACUUCAUUCAUGCUUCAGUUGGUAAAAAUUAGAAGAAGAACAAAUAAGAGGGAACACAAUGCUCCUUAAAAAUUUACACCAUUGGGAGAAAAAUAAUUUGAACAUCCAAACUUGUUUUUCUUCUUGUUCACGAGAAAAGCAGUGAUAUAAACAAUGAGAAAAAGUGAUGAAAUCAAAGAGAAUAGACUUGGAACUGCGAAGAUAACAACAUCCUUUUGACUUCGGAAAACCCAGAUAAAGAAGAAGCUUUCUGAUCAAGAGAGAACCUCUGAUUGCAUACUGACAUUUCUUCAUGUCUCCGUUGAGCGACUCGUAGUCUACUAGUUUGAGAUACAUUUUCAGAAUUGACUUUUCACACAAAUAGCAAACACGCUUAGCUCGAUUAUGGAGUGAAGGCGGAGAUGAUUAAAGUGGUGACGAUGGCGAUGGUGAUGAGCGGCGCCAGAGAUGAUGACGAACGAGAUAAUCGCCGAGACGACGCCGGAGAUAAUGAUGACCGAGAUGAUCGACGCCGGGGAUGACGCAAUCUGUCAUCGUCGAUUUCGUGAUUUAAAUUUUAUUUCAAUUUUUAGAAAAAUGUAAGUAGAGAAAGAAAGGGGUAAAACGGUAAAUGCCAUAUUAAAUGAAACAUUUUUGUGAUUUUGAGCCUUCAUGUCUAGAAUGAGAAGAAAAAGUGGAUAUAAGGCUAUCUAAGGCCAUUUCUUGUUUUUUUUUUAAUGUAAAUCUUAAUUAUAGAUAUAUUUGAAAAGUUGUUUGUUGUUUAAAAUUAUGCCAUUAUAUUACUUUUUACAAUACUUUUAGGUUGUAUAAUUUUGUGAAGUAGUUUUUUGAACUAUUUUAUUAACUAGUUUAACCAAUUAACGUUGAUAUUAACCUACCAACUAUGAUUUGAUGCCACAUUAAAUAUAAUUUUAUCUAAAGUGUUAAGAAGACUAAACGCCAUUAACAAAUAUUUUAAAAUAAGCUUCAGAUUUAAUGGCAAACUAGAGUUGGAACCGCGCGCCCGCGUGAAUGUUUAGUUUUACCAUUUACAAAUAGUCUUAGGCAUUCGCUUCUCGGUUCGGUUCAAGAUCGUUUCUUUUGUUUUUUUUUGGCUUUAGAAAUUUAAGAUCCAUUAGGGUAUUUAAAAAGUUUGGUUUAGUUCCGGUUCAGUUUAACUUUCGGUUAAUUUGGGUUGAAAAAAAAAAUCAGCUUUUCGGAUUAAAUAUCAGAUUUUUGGGGUUUUCAGAUACUAAUUUGGAUAAUUCAAAUAAUUUUAAAUACUUUUGAUAAAUAAAUAUUAUAGUAAUUCGAUUUUUUGGGUAUUUUGACAAUCAAAUAAUCAUAAAACAAUAAUAUUUUAUAAACAUAUAAAUUAUAAUAUAGAAAUUUGGAUAUCCACUUGUUUCUCGGUUUGGUUUGGUUUUGAUCCAGUUCCUGUUUUUAGCUCUAGAGAUAUAGAAUCCAAAAAUAAUAAUUAACAGGAUUUAAAUCUGAACCAAACCUUUUUUUCGGUUUGGCUCGGUUCUGUUCUUCGAUUAUGGGUAAAAGUACCCAAGCCUAAUUACAAAGAUCAAUAGUUUAUAUACUAUAUGUUUGUUUAUAUAUUUUUAUAUAUGAUUGUACAUUAUAAAAAUAGAAUCUAUAAAUACUGAAUAAAUAAAUAAUAGAAAAUAGAAUGGCCGUUCGAUGUCAAAAAAAAAAAUAAUAAUAAUAGAAAUAAUUAUCACUUUAUAUAUAUAGUGAUAUAAAUAAUCACUUUUAUAUAUAUAUAUAUUUACUCUUGAGCUACAUUCACUUUAUAUAUAUAUAUAUAUAUAUAUAUAUAUAUAAAGUGUUGUUUUUAUUUGUAAAUAUAUAAAAAUAGGAAUACAUAAAGUGAAUGAACCAAUUAAAACAGAAAUUAUGUUUAUUAAUUAUUUAAUAUACAUUCCUUUUAUUGUUAAAUAAUUAAUAAACAUAAUAUUAUUUUUUAUAUAAGCCAAACGUGAUUUGCAAAUUUUAAAAAGAGAAUAUACAGAUUGUGCUAGUAAGAUUAAUAUCCUUUUAGUUAUGAUGAUUGCCUUAAAAUAGGAUUUCUUUUUCUGUAAACUAAAAUAGCAAAAGUUUUUAAAUUUUAAUGGUAAACUAAAUAUUUACCGGUAGCUAGGGUUUAAUUCAUUAAGUAAAAUUAGUUUGAGAGUUUUACGUUAAAUACUUAGAGGGUUUUACCCAAAACAAACUUAGUUAAAGGGUUUUAACAUUAAAAAUCCAAUUUUAAAUAUAUUUUGCAUUUUAUACAAACCUAUUUAAUGUAGAAUCUUAUAUUUACGUCUCUUCUCUUGGUAUUGUUUUUGUAUGAGAAGAAAAGUGCUUUUGAAGGUCAAGCUUUCACUCAAUAAUGUUUCGUACAUGUUUUAAAGAAACCUGGAAAAAUACACAAUUGUAACAAAAACAUGAACCAUACGUAAUUGAUUUUGUGGUAUACGUGAAAAUUUUCUUAGAUGAGAAACAGUUCCUCGAUAAUUACACUCUUGAUUAAUCAUGAUAUAUAUUGGAUCAAAUUUAUGUGGUAGGUCUUACACAACUGAUGUAUAAUAUAGCCUAUUGAAUUUUGUAUAAAUUGGAUUUGAUUCUGCACUAACAUAAACUGAUGUAUUUUUGGAAUUGAAUCUAUAUUAAAGACCAAUGGCAUAGGAUUGUAAUUGUUUUGGAAAAAUCAGGAUUAUUUCUUUCUUAUACUCUUAUUUUAAUAGAUUAGAUUAUGUUGUUUUUUUUUUGAACAAAAUCUAGUCUAUACUAUUAAAAGGGAGGCAUUCUUAAAAAAUCUAUUUAUGCAAGGUUAUUUGGACCUAUUAGUUAGACUACCUAUUAGUUAGACUAACACCACAUAAUUCAGCAUAUUUUUAAGCCAAAGUAAUAUUUCAUACAUCAACUCAUAAUUUCUUUAAUGUACAAAAAGAGAUAUUGUAACUAACAACGAUAUUUUACGUAAAGAUUUUAUUAUUUUUUUUAAUACAGAAAAUAACUUAAGGAAAUAGUCAUAACAAACGGAUCAAUAUUAAUGUACUUAUUUUUGGACCCUACAUAUAGAUUAUCGAACAUAUGAUGCAUACCUUUGUAUUACAAACUUAACAAUAUUCAUUCCACUUUUUAAGUGAUGUGUUAUUCAUGUAUAUCUUGACUCUUUUAAUGAAAUGUUAUCACAAAUUUAAUAUCUGAAAUUGAAAACUAUAUCAAUACUAAAAAUAAUUGGUUUUAUAGUAAUGUAAAUUCAUAGUUGUAACUAUGAUAUAAAUAUAUGCGAGGAAAAUUCAUUUUUAAUUUAAAUUUGAUAGCUUGUGUGUUAAUGACAAUAUUUUGAAAACCGAACGGGGCACUGAUUCAACAUUGCACUUGGAUCAAUGGUCGGACAGGUUUAACCGCUAAAUUUUAAUUUAAUUUUAAAUUAAGUAACUAUAUAUGUAAGUAUAACUAUAAAUUAAUUUUGAUAUAAGUUUAUAUCAAUGUUAUAUUUUAAAACUGAUAUGGAAAAAUAAAAUGAAAAAUUCAAAAACUAAAACUAAUUUAUUUAUAUAUGUAGUAGAAAACAAUAUUAAAUUUUGAUGAAAUCUUAUUAAAAUUUACAAUUUUUUUUUAACUUGAAUUUGCCAAAACUGGGUUUUAAUAUUGAACUAGGUCCGAUUUAACUCAAAUUCGGUUUUUAGCACAACUCAGAACCAAUUAGAAGAGCGAGUCAGAAUCCGACUGGUUCGAUCGUACGGUCCGAUCAGAUUUUCAAAACAUUGGUUAAUACAGUUCAAGAAUUAAAAUAUAUAUUUUUAAUAAUGAAUAUCUUUACUACUAAAAACAUACAUAUCAUCUUUAAAUCUAUUUCAAACAAAUCUCACACUAUAAAAAAUAAUGAAUAAUAAAAACAUUAAAAAUCAAUAGUUAUAAUGUGAAACAAAAAAAAAUAUACUAGAUUUAAAAUUUAUUAAAGAUUAUAAACCUCAAACCCGCGCUUUUUAAGCGCGGAUCAAAAUCUAGUCUAUACUAUUAAAAGGGAAGCAUUCUUAAAAAAUCUACUUAUGCAAGGUUAUUUGGACCUAUUAGUUAGACUACCUAUUAGUUAGACUAACACCACAUAAUUCAGCCUAUUUUUAAGCCAAAAUAAUAUUCCAUACAUCAACUCAUAAUUUCUUUAAUGUACAAAAAGAGAUAUUGUAACUAACAACGAUAUUUUACGUAAAGAUUUUAUUAUUAUUAUUUUAAUACAGAAAAUAACUUAAGGAAAUAGUCAUAACAAACGGAUCAAUAUUAAUGUACUUAUUUUUGGACCCUACAUAUAGAUUAUCGAACAUAUGAUGCAUACCUUUGUAUUACAAACUUAACAAUAUUCAUUCCACUUUUUAAGUGAUGUGUUAUUCAUGUAUAUCUUGACUCUUUUAAUGAAAUGUUAUCACAAAUUUAAUAUCUGAAAUUGAAAACUAUAUCAAUACUAAAAAUAAUUGGUUUUAUAAUAAUGUAAAUUGAUAGUUGUAACUAUGAUAUAAAUAUAUGCGAGGAAAAUUCAUUUUUAACUUAAAAUUGAUAGCUUGUGUGUUAAUGACAAUAUUUUGAAAACCGAACGGGGCACUGAUUCAACAUUGCACUUGGAUCAAUGGUCGGACAGGUUUAACCGCUAAAUUUUAAUUUAAUUUUCAAUUAAGUAACUAUAUAUGUAAGUAUAACUAUAAAUUAAUUUUGAUAUAAGUUUAUAUCAAUGUUAUAUUUUAAAACUGAUAUGAAAAAUAAAAUGAAAAAUUCAAAAACUAAAACUAAUUUAUUUAUAUAUGUAGUAGAAAACAAUAUUAAAUUUUGAUGAAAUCUUAUUAAAAUUUACAAUUUUUUUUAACUUGAAUUUGCCAAAACUGGGUUUUAAUAUUGAACUAGGUCCGAUUUAACUCAAAUUCGGUUUUUAGCACAACUCAGAACCAAUUAGAAGAGCGAGUCAGAAUCCGACUGGUUCGAUCGUACGGUCCGAUCAGAUUUUUAAAACAUUGGUUAAUACAGUUCAAGAAUUAAAAUAUAUAUUUUUAAUAAUGAAUUUCUUUACUACUAAAAACAUACAUAUCAUCUUUAAAUCUAUUUCAAACAAAUCUCACACUAUAAAAAAUAAUGAAUAAUAAAAACAUUAAAAAUCAAUAGUUAUAAUGUGAAACAAAAAAAAUUAUACUAGAUUUAAAAUUUAUUAAAGAUUAAAAACCUCAAACCUGCGCUUUUUAAGCGCGGAUCAAAAUCUAGUAUUCUAUUAAAAGGGAAGCAGUCUUGAAAAAUCUACUUAAAAAUGUUGUUUGGACCCUUUCAUUAACUAACAAUAUUUUUGGUCUUACCAUAAUAAUUGACUAAUAAUAUAUUACCUUAUAUUUCUCUAACAAUAAUUUAGUCACUGCUAUAUAUCUUUGUUUUUUUUUUGAACUGAGCUAUAUAUCUUUGUUAGACUUAUUAAAAUCAAAUAUCUUACAAUAAGCAUAACACCAACUUAUUUGAUUUUAAUAAGUCCAACAAAGAUUUAUGGAAAAUAGAAGUUGGAGCCCUGAUACCUUUUGAUAAAACCAAAUAUCUUACCAUACGUAUAACACCAACUUAUUUUGAUUUUAAUAAGUCCAUUCACCAACCAAUAAGUUUAAAACCAAACAUAUUGUUAAUUUUGGAGUAAACAAACCUAUUUACUAUACGUACUGAUAUAUAUAUAUUUAAUAUUGUAUUCUAAUGUUUGUGGAAUAUUUAUACAAACAAGUUAAAAAGUAAUGAUAUAAUAUUUAUAUAAACAAGUGAAAAAAAUGAUCUAAUAUACAUUAAAAUACGAGUCGUUUAAAUCCAUAACUUAAAUACCUGUAAAAUUCUUAAAAUUUUCAGGUAUGUAACUGAUUCGAUUAGGUUUGGGUAUCUAAAACCCAAAGUACCAGUAAGCCUGAAAAUACCUGAGACUCCAAAUAAAUACCCAAAUAAAUAUGCGAAAAGCCCGUAUUUUAACCUAAAUCAUGAAUCGAAAAACUAAAAAUACUUAAAAUUUAAUUUGAAUACCCAAAAUAUAUUUUAAAAUUGGAAUUUUACCCAAAACCUGAAACAAUAACCAAAAACCCAAACUUAAAAUUUAAAAGAAUAUCCAAAUUUAAAACAUAUACGAAAUACCCAUACAUACCUAAUAUACUAAAAAGAUCCGAUUAAUUUGGGUACCUGAUCAGGUCUCGGCUAUGAUCCGGACCAGAUCAAAACCUGUGGGUCUUAAAAAAUAACCAAUAGAUACUUUGUCCUGGACUCGAACCGAACCUAUAUUUUCAAGUCGGUCUUGGUUUGUGUUUUUGGAUCCAGAUAAAAUAGACAGACCAAAAGAGUUAAAUAAAAAUGUACACACAAAAUCUUAAAUAAACUUAUUUAUGAAUUAUAUAAUUUUACAAAAAUUAUCUGCCUCAAUAUAAUAAUAUUUUGUAACAUAAUAAUGUACAACAAUCUACAAAUAUUAAUUCAUAUCAUAUUGUUAUACUUUAAAAAAAACCCGCGCUUUCUAAGCGCGGGUCAAAAUCUAGAAAGCGCGGGUCAAAAACUAGUUAUGUGGUUAAAGACCCCUUUAACCAUUCUUUUUAAUGAACGUUCAUGUUUCUUUAUUGUUCUCAUAAAAGCAAAACACAGGGGUUUCUCAUCCUUCAUCGUUGUCGGUUUCUUCUGAGGGUGUAGAGAGUUGAGGCUCGAUUUCGUCAUUCCUCGGACGAUCCCCCAUUUAACAGGCGGCGUGGGAAGCCUCAGUUCCACCGUUGAGGAGCAUAGAUUCUGCCUCCGACAAGCUAAGGGUUACUGAUGCUCUUGGAAAGGCUGCUCGUUAAAUUUCCUGUUGACGUCUUUUAUAAUCAAGAAAUUUGAUUUCAUCUUUUCCAUUAUGUAUAUGAUUUGAAUCUGAGGUCUUUGAUGUGUUUUGAGCGUGACGUCUCAAACUUCUCCUUUUUGUUUGUUUGCUUGAUCUCUAAUAAUUUUGUUCUUCAGUGCUUCGGAAGAUGUCAAACCUGAUGGUACCAUCCAACUAUACGCCUAUGCAUGUGAAAUUCUUGAAGAAGAUGGGAUAGAGCAAAUAGCCUUUGAUCUCGAGAAGUAAGUUCUUGCUUACCUUCCCAAGUUCAAGUUCAAGUUCCAUUGCACAUGGAUAUGUUAUUAAUAAUUUGUGAAAGAAUAAGCUUUUCUAUGCUUCAGAUACCUACAGCAACAAGAAACAUGAACAGUUUAGUAUAAUUUGAAAAUGUGAUACCAGUUCCUGUAUCUGAUCUUUUCAUUUUUGUCGGUAGGAUUGAUGCUUUUCUGAAAAUGAUCAGAACGGAACUGCUAGCAGGUUGUUCACAGUCUAUAAUGAAACCUACAUCGAUCAAAUCAAGAAAGUGCAAGUUCAGAUGAAUGCUGGUGAAGAUCUCGACUAGGAUGAUCUCACUUAAAGAUUCUCCUAUUUGUAAAGUUAAGACUCCUACACUUGGCUUAUGUUCAAGCCAGAGUACUUAAAGAAAGUUAUCAUUUUGGUCCGAUCCUGGUUAUGUGAAUGAUUUGAUUAUAAAGGCUCUGAAUAACGUUUUGUGCUUGUUUCUAUACUAAAACCCACUUGAGCACUCUUUCAAGCCUUUGUUUUAAUUUGUUUUAAUAUGUUUAACAUAUUCUGGUAAUUUCUUCAUUUGUGGUAAUGUUAGCGAAACCUUCGUAUAUCUGCGUAUCAAUAUCAUUUUCGUAACUAGUUUUGUCGUUCACUGCUAUAGUUUCACUCUUCUUUCCUUUAUGAACACCAAAUAACCAUUUGGAGUUUCCAGAUAUCAAUUUACUACAAACAACUUUUACGUGAGACAUGAAUGAAAAGGAACGAAAUUUAUGACAUAAAUCGUAAUUCCAUUAAAGACAAACACGUCUGGUAACUUUUGUAGAUUAGGUUUAUUUUUCUUGGUUUAAAUUAUAGUUUUGGUUAUAGUUUGAUUUACUUAAAAAAAAAAUUUGAUUUACUUAAUUUAAUUUGUUGGUUAGAAAGAUUUUGGUUUAAUUCAAUUAAAACUAUCAGUAUACAAAAAAAAAUCAGAAUUUAAUGGUUAAAUCCAGUUUUCAAUAACUUUUGGCCAAAAAAUUAACAAAUAUGUUGCCAAUGUAAUUUUUUUUUGUCAAAUUGCAUUAAAUAUGUGGUCAAGGAAUAAAUAAAUUUAUCAAAUUAACAUUAAAGCAGUCAAAAUUAAGUAUAUCUGCGAUAAAAAUAUAAUAAAUAUAUCAAACCCAUAUUAAAUUCUUCAAUAUUACGUAAAUAUGUGAUCAAAAGAUAAUAAAUCUGUUAAAACCUAAAUAAAUCUAUUAAAAAUAUGUAAACCAGUGGCCAAAGAAAAAAAAAAUUAAUCUACCGAAUCUUAUAAAAAUCUGUUAAAGUUAAUUAAAUUUGUCGGCAAAUAAACUAAAUUUAUUUAUUUUUUUUAAAAAACAUAAAUAUGUUGACCAAACGUGAAAAAUUCGUAGAAAUAUAAUUAGUUUAUAGAAAUUAAGAUAAAUCUGCCACAAAAAAAAGUUAAAAAUAAGUUUGUAAUUACAUUAAAACGUGAACAAAAUAAGUCUACUAAUAAUGAGGUUUUCGUAUUUAUUAGUUUUAUAUCAAAGGAGGUAGGGGCAAAACAGGACUAAAUAAAAUUAGUAAUUAUAAUAAAAUUAGAGUAUUUCUGGUAAUCAACUAAUGUAUUAGGGUUAAACGAAAAAUUUCCCAUUAAUUUAUUAAUAAAAUAAUUAUAAAUAUUUAAACUUUCUUUUUUUACGUUGAACAUCUUGUACUCCGCCUAAAAAUGCUUUUGCUGUCAACUCUCUUGGCGAUUCUGGUGAUCACUUUCGGCAAUAAGAACCUUUCAUUUGAUGAAAAACAGAUGCGAAGAAGAAAAAAGAAAAAAGAUCGUUGAAUCAAAAAAGUUGAAUCAAUAUGAUUCAAUGUAACUCAAUGUCAAAAACAAGAUAAGUUUAGAUAAAAUCAUAAGGUUUUCUCAGAUUUAAAACAUAGAAUACAUAUUUAAAAGAAAAAGAUAAAACACAUAUAUAACCGUAGAGUAUAAAUUCUAAUGUGUUUAGAACAUAGCGUACAUGUAAGGAGUAGUUGUUUUAUCUACGAUAUAUGAUAGAGUAAGCGAUAGAACAUAAAUGAACAUUGUCUAUAUUUUUUAACAAUGAAGUAAAAAGUCUACAAUAUAUGUUGUACUUUAUAAUAGUAAAGAGGUUUGGUUAGAACUGAGAUACACAUAUUCUAUAUUUAGAUAUAUCGUAGAGAAUACUUUAAAAUAUGAAUUAUAACAUUUAAAAAAUGUAGAAGCUAGAUCAAUUAGAACAUUUAUUUAGUCUUUGUAAAAAGUUAUAAUAUGCAAUCUAGCAAAUCUAGAUCAACAUAUCCAAAAACAUUUUGGAAUUAAAUUUUUGUAUUUUAAAACUUGUAAAAUAUUUUAAUGAUCAUAUUGAUUUUCCAUAUUUUUAUUUAUAUUUAGUUUUAAUAAUUUUUGGUAUUAUGAAGAUAAUUAUUUUAAAACUGUCUAGUUAAUACAAAAGUGUAAAGAGACAAAAACAUUCUCAUUAUGGCCUAUUUUGUGGAUUUCUCAUUUAUAAAAAGGUUAAAAAGCAGAUUAAAACUUGUUCUUCACUAAAAAAACUUAAAUUCUCAAUAAUGGUAACUUUAUAUUUUAUACAAAAAGACAAACAGAAAAGAGACUACAAUUCAGUGUGUCCUAAUUUGUGAAUAUAUAUUGCCUAAGUGAUUCAUUGACUAUAUUACUUCCAUUUACAAAAGCAAAACACAAAAACAUAUCCAAAGCUUCCUUUUACCAUGAAAUCAUCUAUAUAAAGAUCAUUACUACUGAAGAAAUAAUUUAUCAUUCCAAGAAAAAUAUUAAAAAUGUCAGAGCCCAAAAAUAAGAAGAUCAAACGCAUUGACGAGCUGCCUGAAGAUCUCACUGUAGAGCUGCCUGAACAUCUGGUGGAGUACAUCAUAUCAACGUAUUUCCCCAUCCAAUAUGUUCUACAAAACCGUGUUGUGUCCAAAACAUUCAGGGAAGCAGCGAUUCGAUCCCGAGACCUUGAUUUCGGCAGGAUAUACUCCAGGAGACGUAGUCAAUCAGAGGUUGUACAUAUAAUUGAAGAGAUUUUUAAUCAACACAAAGGAUCAGAAAUCAACCGAUUUGUUCUGAUUCUCAAUCAUAUUGGCGUAGAGGAUAAGGUACUCUCGUGGGUAAAAACAUGCCUAAGUAAAAACAUUCAAGAGCUGAUGUUAAACUUCUCCAAAUCCAAGAAAGUCAUGGAUCUCUCUGUUGAUUUCUCGGCCAUCGAGACACUAACUGUCUUGAAUCUAAGAUGGUGUAAAUUCGAAAUACCGAAUAAUACCCCAAAGGGUUUAAGACUCUUGAGGACACUUGCGCUCAUGAAGUCCAACGUAACACCAGAGAUGAUAGAUGCAAUAUUCAGCAACUGCAUUCACCUCGAGACGCUUGAACUAACCAGAUGCAUAACGCAUGGGGUAUUGAGCAUCAAUGCUCACAAUCAUAAGAAGUUCAAGGAACUGGUCCUGUAUUGUAUGCCUAAUCGCUUGCAAAUCAUUUUAGAUGCACCUACUCUUGAAUGCUACAAGUAUGAAGGAUUUGUUAGGAUUCUUGACUUUUCAAAAGUGGACGCACUUAAGGAGGCGAAACUCCAUUAUAUCCAGAAUUACAAUUGGCGUUAUUACGAUUCGUCUAACAUGGUGCUUGCUAACAUGGUGGCCUAUACAGGAGUUCAUGUCCUCUCAACGACAAAUAUCUUUCUUGAGGUAAACUUUUUCGAAUUUACUUUUCUUAUAUUUAUAAAAGUGUUUCCUGUUUUUAUUGCAAUGUCUGAGGAAAAUUUAUAUAAGAUAUCAUUUUUCCACAAAAUGAAAUAUAGGAUAACUUUACAGAUAGAGACACUCUUGAGUGAAUUUUUAGAGUUCCUUCUGCAGUUUUGCACAAAUUCUUUAGGUGAUCAACUGAUCAUGAUAGAGGAUGUUCAUCUUAGAUAGACUAUGCAACAUUCACAUGCGUUUGUUUCCUGUGUUUAUAUAACUCACUUCGUUUUGUUUAUAACUUUGGCAGUCUUGGUUUACGUACAUGAAUUUUUAUGUUUCCUUUGACAUGUAUAUAUAGGCAUUCAAGGAAAGAUACAUAGAGGGAGAAAUGAGAAGCCCCAUUUUCAAAUUUUUGAACUUGAAAGAAUUCAGUAUUCUUUUUAAAGCUCCAAACUUGUGUACUCUUUAUCACAUUUCUGAAUUCCUCAAAAGAUCCCCUAAGGUCGAAAAGGUUUUGAUCGAUGUACGUAUCUCUCUAUCUAUCUCAAAAUCAAUAAUUCUCUAACUCUAAUUAAGUUCAUUAAAAUUCUCGUUUGGUAAGUGCAGAUUAAGGAGUUCACAUUUGAACCUGGUAUGCUUUGGAUAAUUCAUCAAAUGUCAUAUAUGGAGAGCAGCAACUGCGAGUUUAACUCUAUCAAGGAAGUCACGAUUGAUGGCUACAAAAACCAUUGGCAUGAGCUUGAUAUAGUGGAGUUCUUUUGCGGGCACGCAAAAUCGCUAAAGAAGUUGAAGUUGUUCAUGCCAAAAAACAUUAAGAAAAGAGCUCGCGGACUCGAUUAUGCUAGGUUGGAUUACAUAAGAAGCAGAUUUCCAGGUGUUAAAGUGGAAGUUUAAAUUCAGGAUAUGACCAAGCAUGGCAAACUAUAAUAGCUCUUUUGAUGUGUUUUCAGAAAAAAAUAUUUAAUGCUAUUCUCUGAGAUUUGAACUCUUUUGUUUUUAGUUUUGGUAAUGUUUAAGCUAUAAACUAUGUCAUGAUCCGCGUAACCUCGCAGAUUUCUUUUCUAGCUAAUGGAAUAAAACAUAUAAAUAAAUAAAUAAUAUGAUGUGUGGUGUUAUAUAAUUUUGUUCUAUAAUAUUUAUUUUAUUAAAUUAAUUAACAUUAUUAUAAUUUAUGCAAAUUAAUAGUGAAUCAGGUAUUUAUAAAUCUGUCGAAAUAUUAGGAAAGUAAAACUAAUGAAUUUGUUAGGUUAUAAACAUACAAAAUGAGAUGUAUUAAAUUUAAAAACAUACAAAACAUUAAUUAAGUUCAAAUGAAUGUUUCUGUUUAAAUAGUAUAAGAUUUAUUGGGAUCAUUGAUAUCAAAGUGGUUUUGGUCUAAUUUGCUCAUACACUACCCAUAAAAAGAAGUAUAGAGUCAUAUAAAAUUGGAAAAACAACUAAAUUUUAUUAUAAUCAAUAAUUAUUGCUAAUUGUGAAAUUAGCAUAAAUUACUGUUAGUAAUUUGUUUAACAUCCAUUAAGUAAGAAAUCAACGCUGAUCAGUAUCAGAAGAAGAACAAAUAAGAGGAAACACAAUGCUCCUUAAAAAUUUAUACCAUUAGGAGAAAAAUAAUUUUAAUAUCCAAACUUAUUUUUCUUCUUGUUCUUCCAAAAAAAUUAUCAAAAAAUUGUUUCUUAAAUAUUGUUUUCUAAAAAAAAUAUUUACCAAAAAGGAAGAAAAACACACAUCUCGUCCCCUAUUAUACCUUCCAAUCUUCUACACCCAUUUUUGUCCAAAUAGUAUUUAGAUUAAUGAUAAUCCUAUUUUACCCUUAUUUAUAAACCAAAUUAAUAAAGAUUAAUAUUAAAAUGUAAAAUAAUAAUGAAAAAUAUAAAGAGAAUAACGGUCAAAGCUAGCGGGUGAUCGAACAAGUUUCUAUCAACAGAAGAAAAAGAUAGUCAUGCUCCAAAUCUCUCCCAUCCCGUCAUAUGUGAUGACAUGCUUCAAGCUCCUGGUCUCGCCAUGCAAAAGGAUUCAAUCGGCAAUCACUAGAUUUUGAUAGGAUGCAAGAAGUGGAAACAAAAAGAUGGCUUGGAUCUCAUGGACGACGACGAUGACAAAACCGAAGGUGCAUGGAGGACUUGGAUUUCAGGAUUUUCAAAGUCUCAACGACGCUUAGCUUGCUAAGUUUAGCUUGAGAGUUAUCAACAAUCCGUCAUGUCUGCUCAGCAAGGUCUUCAAAAGAAAAUACUGUCGGGAUUCAUUGUCCUCCAAGCAAUCCACAAGUCCGUGGAACCUCAUGGAUGGAAAGGCUGCUAAUCGGACGUGACCUCAUUCUCAGGAACACCGGAUGGGCUGUGGGGAAUGGAGAAACAAUCAGAAACAAUCCACGGCUAAGCUACAAUGAGCAGAUUCGACUUAUUGGUCCGGCUCAAGCAAAUCAACAAUCAUUGACAGUUGUAAUUCUACUCAAACUGGACUGAUCAAACUGGGACAGAGAGGCUAUCCAGUGUUUUAUCCCUCAUGAAGAGGAAAGGAUUUUGAUAGUAAAACCGAUAAUAACCUAAUUUGUUUGGGUACCGAGUCAGGGGAGUACACCACAAAAUCAGGGUAUAGAACAACUUUGGCCUACACAGAACCAACCCAUAAUGAAGACCUAGUGGACUCUUUUAAUUGGAAUGACGACAUUUAGAAACUGCAUACAGUUCCGGAAAUUAAGCUUUUCCUAUGGAAAGUGUUUAGUGAAGCCCUCCCGGUGGGAGAUUGCAGCAAGAAACAUCACCUCAUUUACUACCUGCAAAAGAUGCAAUAACACUGAAUCUAUCAAUCAUCUAUUCCUCUAUUUCUAUCUAGCACAAAAGGUAUGGAAGCUUGCUCCCUUUGCUAUUGAUGUUGAUGCUAGAAUAUUUCUAGAUUUAUCUACUUGUUGGAGUAUGCUCUGUGAUAUAGUAUGUUUCCCGCCUUCGGAUAUUGUCACAGGCCAGUGAUAUGCCAUGGAGAGUAUAUACUACGAGAAGGAAGAGGUCAUUGGAAGAGGAAGCUAGGAAGAGAUCUUUGGAGGAGGAAGCUUUACGUAAUUGAAGAAGAAGUGUAUUAAGUCAAACAAAGAAUAAAGUCAACAGAGUUUGUUACAGAUAUUUGUACGUGGACCUUAUACUAUAAAAGGACUCCAUUAGCUUAGGAUUUGGUUAUUGAUGAUUUGUACUUGGCUUAACUCUCCGGCUUGUGGAGAUCAAGAGUGGGCAGUUGGGAGGAUACUAAUCAAUAUACAUCACAGUUCAUAACAAAUUGGUGCGAGUGAAGUGUUCUGGAUCGAACGAUCGUGGCGGAAACGAUGACGAGACCGACGCAAUCAUCAGGAAAUCUUGAAUCGCUUUCGAUGCAAGUCGCAGAGCAGAGAGAGACGAGCGUACAGUUGCGAGAAAGUAUUGACGAAGUUAGGUUGACGAUGACGGAGCUGGAGCAGCGGCUCGAUGUCAAGUUCGAAGCGAUUCUGCGGAAGCUCGAUAAAAGACCGAUGGAGGAGACGAGUCUUCCUUCGAAUCCGAUCACUCUAUCGCAAGAUCCUCAGGUACAUUUCUCAAACACGGAACCUGGCCGAAGUUUUAGGGAGAGUCGCGAUAGUUUGAUUAAGAAGGUUGAACUUCUGACUUUCUCGGGAGAGGAUGUUUACGGUUGGAUUGCCUUGGCUGAGCGUUUCUUCAGAAUUGGAGGUUAUGGUGAGCUGAUGAAGAUUGAAUUGGUUUCUGUCACUCUCGGGGGAGACGUGUUGAGCUGGUUUAACAGUGAUAUUUUGCGACAUCAAUUCAGCAGCUGGUGUGACUUUAAGAACAAAUUGAUUGAACGAUUUAGCAGAGUGAAACUUUGUGAUCCGAGUCAGCCCUUCUUUGCCGUUCAACAGACGGGAACAAUUGCCGAGUAUAUUCAUAAGCUCGAAGAUCUGUCGACACAAGUGGUGGGGUUAACUGAUACACAAAAGGAGGGGAUUUUCAUAAAUGGUCUGACACCAGAAAUGAGAGAAGUUGUUACAAUGUGCAAGCCUGUGAACUUGCCAGACAUGAUUUCAACUGCUUAUCAAAUGGAAGAUAGCUCCUUGUUCAGUGUGAUUCAAAAAGAAAUGAAGAGCAGAAACAUGGCGACGUUGAGACCCCCGGAGAAUAAAAGCAAGUCUUAUUCGAAUUUCAACACAAAUACAGGAUGGAAGCAAGCUGCACAACCUUUGCAGCCAGUCACAACUCAAAAACAAUGGAGACAACCAACGAAGCCACUUCCGCAGCUUAGAUUGUCUUAAGCACAGAUUGCGGAUAAGAGUAGACUUGGUUUAUGUUACACGUGCGACGCGAAAUGGUCUAGGCAGCAUGUGUGUCCAAAUGCAUCUUUACAAGUCCUGACUGUGAUCGAUGGAUGUGAUGUGGCAUUAUUGGAUCAGGAGGUGAGUGAGAUGGACGAAGAUGAAAUUGUGUGGGAACCGCAGUUAAAGACAUUAUCUCUAAGAUCAUUUCUUGGGCGUUCUUCACCAACUACAACUAAAAUGACAGGAUUUUUGAAGAAGUUGGCGAUGAUAGUGAUGUUAGACAGCGCAGCAACGCACAACUUUAUCACUCCGGCGUUAGCUUGUCAAGCUAAACUGAGAGUAGAAACGCUGAGAGGAUUGGACAUAUUAUUGGGAAUUGGAGUGGCAGUUCAAGGAGGCGGGGUGUGCAGAAAUGUAGUUUUUGAUCUACAAGACGUGAAGUUUGUAGCAGACUUUAUUGUCUUGGAGCUGGGGCAGAUCGAUAUGAUUUUGGGCAUGCAGUAGCUGAGAACACUUGGUAGAUGCCAAAUUGACUGGGAGAGACAUGAAUAUGUGUUUUGGUAUCAAGGACAGAAGGUUAAGCUAGUGGGAGAUCCUACUUUACACUUGAUGCUAAAAGGAGGCAAGCCUGGUGUUGCUCAACUGGAGAUUCAUGAGACGAUUCUGGAAGUGCUGAAGUCCUUUGAACAUAUUUUCAGGGAGCCGACUGAGUUACCGCCGAUACGGGGCAGAGAACACGGUAUCACUUUGCAACCAGGAACGGGACCAGUGAGUGUAAGACCGUAUAGGUACCCUCAGAUACACAAAGACGUUAUGGAGAAGAGCGUUCAGGUGAUGUUAGCUAGUGGUUCAAUAAGACCAAGUCACAGUCCCUAUUCUAGUCCCGUAUUGUUGGUUAAAAAGAAGGAUAAAUCUUAGAGAUUCUGCAUGGAUUAUAGGGCGGUGAACAGAGUAACAAUCCCUGAUAAAUACCCUAUUCCGAUCGUUGAUCAGUUGCUGGAUGAGUUACAUGGAGCUAAAUACUUCUCUAAGCUUGAUUUGAGGUCGGGUUAUCACCAAAUUCGAAUGAAAGAGGCAGAUGUGGAGAAGACUGCGUUCCGUACUCAUGAAGGUCAUUAUGAGUUCUUGGUCAUGCCUUUCGGCUUGACCAAUGCACCAGCCACUUUCCAAGCAUUGAUGAAUGAGGUGUUUCAGCCGUUCCUGCGAAAAUUCGUUUUAGUCUUCUUCGAUGACAUACUUGUAUAUAGCUCAACAUUGGAGGAGCAUGUGCAACAUCUAGCAGCGGUUCUAAAGGUGUUUGAAGAGCAGUCGUUAUUUGCUAAUAGAAAGAAGUGUGAGUUUGGCCAGAGGAAGGUGGAGUAUCUUGGACAUGUGAUCUCUGCUUUGGGAGUUUCAACAGAUCCUAAAAAGAUUGAAGCAGUUACAAACUGGCCAAAUCCGAGAACGGUUAAGGAUUUGAGAGGGUUUUUGGAGCUCACUGGAUACUAUAGAAAAUUUGUUCAAGCUUAUGGGAUGUUAGCUAAGCCAAUUACCAAGUUUUUAAAGAAGGAGCAGUUUUUGUGGGCAACAGAGGCGCAAUUAGCAUUUGAUAAGCUUAAGGUGGCGAUGACAACAAUUCCGGUAAUAGCGCUACCAGACUUCACUAAGAUGUUUGUCAUCGAGUCAGACACUUCAGGGUUUGGAUUAGGAGCGGUUCUAAUGCAAGAUAGGCAUCCAAUUUCCUACUUCAGUCAUGCCUUGACCUCAAAAGAGCAACUAAAACCCAUUUAUGAACGGGAACUGAUGGCUAUCGUGAUAUCUAUACAAAAGUGGCGUCAUUAUCUUUUGGGAAGAAAAUUUUUGGUGCGAACUGAUCAACAAAGCUUGAAAUAUUUGCUUGAGCAAAGGGAGGUGACGUUGGAUUAUCAACGAUGGCUGAAACGUAUAUUGGGGUAUGAUUUUGACAUUGAGUACAAGGUGGGAACGGAGAAUAAGGUAGCAUAUGGACUCUCUAGAAUUGUUCAGUAUUCAGCUGCUGAAUUACAAACGAGGUUGUGUUCUUUGACAAUUCCGGCAACACUACAUAUGAAGGACAUUUUAGCGGAGAUUUAGACUGAUCAGGGUAUUCAGGAGAUGAUUGCUAAAUUGCAAAAUGGUGAGGCAGUGAAAAGUGGCUAUACGUUGAAUCAAGGCCGGCUGUUAUAUAAGGGGAGUUUGGUGUUGCCAAAAACAUCGCAAUACAUUCCUCUCAUUUUACAAGAGUGCCAUGAUGGAUUGCUAGGAGGACAUGCGAGAGUGUUAAAGACGUUAAAACGUAUUCGAGAAUGCUUUUACUGGCCUCAAUUGAGGAAACAUGUCAGUGAGUAUGUGGCUGCUUGUGAGAUUUGUCAGACGCAUAAGUAUUCCACAUUGUCUCCUGCUGGUUUGCUUCAACCAAUAGAGCUACCUACCAGGAUAUGGGAAUACAUUUUGAUGGAUUUUGUUGAGGGCUUACCUUCGUCACGAGGCGUAAAUGUUAUCUUGGUUUUGGUUGAUCGCUUGAGCAAAUACUGUCACUUCUUGACAUUGAAACAUCCUUUCACAGCAGCUGAGGUGGCUCAGAAGUUUCUUUCUGAGAUUGUACGCUUACAUGGAUAUCCUAAGUCGAUUAUAUCGGAUAGGGAUAAGGUGUUUUUGAGUAACUUUUGGAGGGAAUGUUUUAAAGCUUCAGACACGAAGUUGCGCUUUAGCACAGCUUUCCACCCUCAAUCAGAUGGUCAGACUGAGGUUUUGAAUAGAUGCUUGGAAACGUAUCUACGGUGCUUUGCGUCUACUCAUCCCAAGACAUGGGCUAAGUACUUAAUGUGGGCUGAAUUGUGGUACAAUACCUCUUACCAUACAGCAACACAGUGUUCUCCUUUCAAAUUGGUAUAUGGCCGUGAUCCACCGUCGUUAUUACGAUUUGAAGACGGUUCACGCAAAACUUUGAGCUGGAAGUGAUGUUGAAAGAAAGAGAUGCAUUGUUGAAUGAUGUGAAGAAACAUUUGUUGCGAGCGCAUGAGAUUAUGAAAAACAAUGCUGAUAAACAUCGUCGAGAUUUGGAGUUUGAUGUUGGUUCAUUGGUUUAUUUGAAGCUGAGGCCGUAUAGACAGCAGUCGGUGCAGAAGCGUAUUUGUCAGAAGUUGGCUGCUCGUUACUAUGGGCCCUACGAGAUGCUAGAGAGAAUUGGAAAAGUGGCUUAUCGACUACGUUUACCGGUAGAGUCGAAGAUCCACCCAGUGUUUCAUGUCUCUCAAUUGAAACCAGUGAUAGGGCGUGGUGAAAGGGUUACACCUUUACCACCUGUGUUGUCUGUGGAAGAGGAGUUGAUCGUGGAACCGUUGGAGUUGUUGGAUACUCGUUAUAGUGGAGAUGGAUUUUUGGAAGUCUUGGUACAGUGGAAGAAUCUACCGGCGCAUGAGACUUCUUGGAUGAGGAUGAAGGAAUUUAAGACGCAGUUUCCAUCAUACGAGCUUGAGGGCAAGCUCGGUCUACGAAAGGGGGGUAUUGAUAUGCCAUGGAGAGUAUAUAUUACGAGAAGGAAGAGGUCAUUAGAAGAGGAAGCUAGGAAGAGAUCUUUGGAAGAGGAAGCUUUACGUAAUUGAAGAAGAAGCUUAUUAAGUCAAACAAAGAAUAAAAUCAACAGAGUUUGUUACAGAUAUUUGUACGUGGACCUUAUACUAUGAAAGGACUCCAUUAGCUUAGGAUUUGGUUAUUGAUGAUUUGUACUUGGCUUAACUCUCCGUCUUGUGGAUAUUAAGAGUGGGCGGUUGGGAGGAUACUAAUCAAUAUACAUCACAGUUCAUAAUAGCCAGGUGGCUCCGUGGAUCCUAUGGUCCUUAUGGUGGGUUAGCAAGAAACAACCUUGUCUUCAAAAAUAGAGAAGCUACCUCUGAGGAAAUUAUUUGCAAAGCCACUGUUGCGGUAUGGGAAUGGCUAACGGAACAGAGCAUUAGCACCCUUGUCUCCCACCAGACGCAACCAUAAUCGAUCUGAAAACAGGGUCUCUUGGGGUAGGUGCUGGUUUCAGGCGAAAACAGAGUCUCCUUCAUGGCUCACUGUCAUCUUGUUAGCUCCCUGUUGGUUGCGGAGAGCUUAGCACUUAGGGAAACUAUCCUAGCAUGCAUUUAGAAGGGACUCCGUCAAGUGAGGUUUGAAUCUGACUCGCCCAAGCUGGUGAAAGCCCUCUCCUCCGAUGGGAGCAGAAAUCUAUGGGAUUGUAGCUGAUAUAAUUUGUUUAUCUUCAGCUUCUGAAUUAUCUCCUUCUCGUGGAUUCAUUGUGGUAAAAACAGAGAUGCCGUUUCUUUUGGAAAGCAAGCUCUGUGGGAUGAUGAAUCUAUUGUAAUGACUCCUAUGAAUAAUGGAGUCUAAAGUUAUGUUUUAAUGAAAAUUUGUGUUACCAAAAAAAUAAGCAGAAUAUUUAGUCUAUGUAGCGGUCAUCUCUUCUCUCUCAUUCUUUAUUUUCGGUAAGUAAAUUCUCAUCUAAAUUUCCUUAUCCUUCUCUCUUCCUUUGUCUAUCCUCGUCACCCUUAUUUUCUUUUUGAUUUGUUCAGCAUAAUCUUCUCUUCCGAAGGAUUGCAUCUCUAAAGCAAUAGGCCAUUUUCCCGUUUUGAGGCCAACCCAAAAAGAUCAAGAAUUGUACGUGUAGAAUGAUGUUAGGAGUUUUCAAGGCUCCUAAGACAAAUGUUGUAGUAUAAAAGAUUGUCGAACCAGUUCUGAGGGAUAUCAAAGCACUGAGAAUGCAAGUACUCACUUAAUCUAAGUGCAACCAAUGAUUUAGAUGGGUUUUAAGCUAUGACUAAAACUAGAAAGCAAUAACAGAAUGAUACUUUCUUGACUAAGGAAAAAGAGAACUCAUGGGCAUAGGGAUUAGACCUUGGGUGAUCAAGUAUCGAACUAAGGAUGGCAAACGAUCAAUCAAACUAUCAACCUUAAGCCUAGACACAAUUCUAAGCAAGCUCUAUGUCUAGAUGAAUGCUCAUUUGCUAACAUUUCUCAAACAUCAAAUGUCUUUGGUUGAAUAAUAUGAAAGCAAUCAUUACUAACAAGUCUAUUAGCUAUCUUAGCAUCUUUAACAACAAAUGUCUUUGGCAAAGUAUACUAAAAGCCUAGGAGAGUUGUCUCAGGCAUUUCAUCAAACACCUUUUGGGUGGGAAAUGUCUAUUGAUCAACUUUUGAGUGGCCAACUCAGAAGAUGCAUUAUGAAUACUCUACUAGCAAGGAACAAGAAUGAUCUACACUAAAACAUCCUAGAACUAACCUAAUCACCCUUAAUCUCCCUAACCCAUGAAUUCAAAAGGUGAUUACUCACUAAUCUCCAUGAUUCCUCUUAAACCCAUAUUGGAUUUUAGAUUAACCAUGUAGAGAAAUAGAUAAGAAAUCAACAAGAACACAAGAUGAAAGCAAUGAAAUCUGAAUCAAAAGAGGUUUUUUUACUAGUUCUUCUCUAGAAAAGAGAUUCUCUUGCCUCCCAUGGCUUACAAAGUACUUAACUUAGGUUUAGAAAGUGUAAAACAUCAAAACAAAUGACCAAAAGGCCCCUGAAAUAACAUAAAAAUUGUCCAAGCAAAACACGCGGAGCGACCUAGCAUAGUCGCUCCAGGAGGUCGCUCCCGACGCGUUUUUUUGUGUCUCGACGCGUCAAAACGCGAGUGACUUGAGCUGGUGGCUCUGGCUGGGAGUGACUUGAGGUAGUCGCUCUGGACUGGUCGCUCUGGCUGGGAGCGACCUCGGUAGGUCGCUCUGAGAGGUCACUCUGCGAUGCUCGACCAGGAUGGAUAUGCCUCUAGUAAAUUGAUCAUAACUCCUUCAUUACACCUCCAAAUGACUUGAAACCACUUCCAUUAGAAAGCUAACUCAAUUUUCUGUGUCUCCACAAAAUCUUAGCAACAGAAGAUUUCUCUAAAGGCUCCAUCCAUGCUCAUCUUUCACCCCCUUUUGGAUCACAAUGCUCCCAAACAUCUCAAAUCACUCUAUGGCACACUCCAGCACCUAAUAAGGACAAUGAAUGCAAAAUUCAACCUAGACAUGGCUAAAUCCUAAUCUAUAUGAUGAAAAUGCUCAUGGAUGAAUGGAUAAAACAAUGUAAAUAUGCAAGAUAUCAACUCUCCCAAACUUGUUCUUUUACUUGUCCACAAGUGAACUUUCUAGAACUCAUAGGGAGAGAGGUUUGAAGUUGGGAGCUCAUAGCCAAAAGAAACACAACUAGCAAACACAAUUAGCACACUCUCUUAUUACACUCUAGCUUCUCUAGGCCUAUCUCAACUCUUUUUGCCCUUACACUCAUCAUCAAGCAUCCACACAUUCAAAUCAACCAACUCUCACAUUCAUUAAGCACAAAACAUCAGGUGAAUUCUUGCAACUGGUCAGUUGGUCCAAGUCAUUUGGUUGGGUAAGGGAAGGCUUUUAUUCAAGUGAUUCAAGAGGUUCAAAACAUAUGAUCUUUAAGGUGGUUUACUCUCGAAACAAGUAGCCUUGACAUUGCACAUAAUAUAUCUAAGAAAGGGAUCAACUCAUGCAUACAAUGCUCAAUCUCCAUUGUUCUACCCUUUUUCUAAACAUACAAUUACACAAUCAUUCCCAAAUGUCAAACCCAACUCACAUCUCUCACCAAAAGAUCCUAAGAACUUUAACUCCUUCUCUUUGAAAUCUACAAGGGAUUUUUUCAGAACCUCAAAAUAUUUCUUAGCUCCUAACAACUUUGCUAGCCUCUUUUUCUUUUUUUUUUCUUUUUCUUUUCUCUUUUUUUUUUUUUUUAGGUUGGGGGCCAAUACUUUCAAAACUUGAGCUAGAGGCUUCUCUACUUAUCCCAAUAAAACAAUUCACUUAAGCACAAAGAGUCUAUUCUUUUUCUUUUUCAUUUCUCCCAAAUCAUAAUCACAACACUCACCCCCCCCCCCCACCUAUAGCUAGACAAUAGAGUGCCCAAUCUAGCAUGAAUGAAGAUCAAGCAUUGUCGUUCCCGAUACUCUCAACAUUAUGCACAUGUAAGACUUUCCGAAAAAGGCCUCACUCAUCAAACAAUGAAAGCUUAAAAGGAGGGAAAGGUUUUGGGAGUGGUCUACCACUAGAGUUUGUCAAAAAAGAUUGGCAUAAAAGAUGUGACAACUCAAGUGUGUAUAGCCAUGACUUAGUACACAAGGGACCAUGAGCAAGAAGCAUUAAGUUCGUUCAGUUCAAAUAAGGUUGUAGUUAGCUUCAAAGACUGAGUUUCAGCAAUCAACAAGUUUCAGGAAGAGUUUUCAAGGCUCGAAACAUACAAGUCUUUUUGAGAGGUGCAAAAGCUACUCAGGUGCAACGUAGUGUUCUUUACAAGGCAUUUAAAAUCAUUGCUCCUAAUGCAAGUGAAUGCAACCUAUAUGCUCUAGACUCUCCUAGAAAUGCAAAUGAUGCAAACUAAAUGAAUGUUUUUUUUUAUAUGCAAAUAGGUAUGCAAUGCAUGACUCAAUGAAACAACAUCAAAGCAAACAUGAUCAAAUACUUGGUACCUCCCCCAAACUUGAGUUACACAGUCUCUGUGUUGUCAAGUAGAGAGAGCUACCCAAAAGAAGACUAAUAUGCAAAAAUGAAAUGGUAUAUACAAGGGAGUGUGGUGGUUUACCUUCUAUGGGGAAUGAGUAGAGAGAGAUGCUCCCUCCUCGUCGUCCUCAGGUGGUAACUCUUCAAGAUGCUCGUCAGCAGGAGUGGCCAUCUCUUCAAUGUAGAAGGCUUGCCCGAACACAGUUGGUUUCCUCAUUUUCUCCUUGAUGUCAAAGUGUAGGAUGUUCUCUUUACCCAAAUGGAGAUCAAUCGUGCCUUCCUUCACAUUAACAAUAGCUCCUGCUGUUGCUAAGAAUGGCCUUCCUAGAAUCAAUGGGUCUUGAGCCUCCUCACC
rnacentral:lncRNA from 1 species